UUCCAACGCUGCUUCAGAAAUAGGUUCUUUAACAAAAUCUGAUUUUGCUUUAAAGUAAUUUUUAAAUAAAGAUUUAUGCUGCAGUAAAACUUCAGGCGCAGUAUUAGUCGGGUAACCCGCUGUAUAUAAAACCGAUUUGAGCCAACUCAUCUCUGUAGAAUCAUUUCUGGUUAAACCCAAUUCAGGAAAACUGUUUUCCGUAACAUUGAGAAGUCUGUUUACAUCGCCAAGAAACAAACCUUGAUAAGAAGUCGAUACAGUUCGUGCAACAGGAUUACCAACAUUAGACGGUGUGAUUAUUACUCUAAUGAAAAGAUCCUCGUCAAGUUUGUCAGCUACUUCAGUCCACCGGUGAAGAAUUUUAGUACCGUUUUGUUCUAAAGUCCUCGUAACUGUAAAAACUGUAACAGUAGAAGGAACCUGAACUAACUGUAGUUUCCAAGAAACAAUAAUUCCAAAACUACCCCCAGCGCCACCUCUAAUUGCCCAAAAAAGAUCUUCGCCCAUAGCUUGACGAUCAAGCAGUCUACCAUUAACAUCAAUGAUAUGAGCAUCAAUUACAUUAUCGGCACCAAGACCGUACUUUCGCAUCAUUCCACCAUAUGCGCCCCCCGUAAUAUGACCUCCGACUCCUAAACUUGUGUAAAGUCCGGCUGGAAAGCCGUGGGUUUGGCUUUUUUCUGCAAUUCUGUAAUAUACUUCGCCGAUGGUUGCGCCGGUUUGAACCCAUGCACUGUUAUCGUCAAUAUUGACGUCGACAGAACGGAGUCGUGAAAGAUCUAUAACGAAGAAGGGGUUGUCUAUUUCUGUUGCGUAAGAUAAACCUUCAUAAUCAUGGCCACCGCUACGCACUCUAAGGUGGAUGCCCAGCUGUUUUGAGCAGAUAACGGCAGCUUGGAUAUGGGUUUCCUUUAACGGGGUGAAGAUGAAUUCAGGUUUAGGAACGGAAGGUAAUAAGUAACGGAGGUUUUGAGCUGUGGAAUUCAAGAUUGAAGGGAAUGAGGAAUUGUUUGGUGUGAAAAAUGUAGAAGAGAAAGGAAUCUGGAGUUUGGAAUUGCGUUUUAGACAACGAUAUAUUACGUCAUUGUAUAUAAGAGAUUGAAGAAGCCAUUUUCUUGCGUUUGUGUUUUGGGUAAGCGAAGUUUCAUUUUUAUACAGAAUGUGAGUUUGAUUGUCAGUUGUUGAACGAUGUUACAGAUAAGACUAUGCUGUAAUAUGCUAUUGACAAGGUAAAUCAUGAAUAUAUAAAGUAAAUAAAUGAUUUUCCUUUUAUUAAAAAUAUUACUUUAAAAAGCCUUAACUGCCAUUAAAAACAUAUACCGGAUGGACGAAAAACCUUAACUGUGAUUAAACUCGAGUCGAAUUUCUGAAUUCUGAUGGUUUACACCCAAAAACAUUCUUUUAAAAAGUCUAUUUCAGAUUUAUCGUUAUAUUACUCCAUUAAAUCUCUCUAUCCUACAAAACCGAUUUGUUUGCUAAAAAUAAUUAGAAAUUCAUUACAGUGAUACUGUCCUGUUUAUGUCAUAAUAAUAACUAGCAUAUGCCUCGGAUACGCAUUUAUAAUUUGGCUUGGAAAAAAUUUAUAAUUUAAAUUAUUUUUAAUUUUAUAGUUGGUAAUUUUGUUGAAAACAAUACUGAAAAUUUCCCCAAAAAAAAUCUUUUUAAAAAUUGAGUAAGACAUAGAUAAUAUGAACGUUUAGUAUUAACAUAGUAAAAAUUAGAUGUUAUUUCUAAUAUUUAUCUAUCAUCUAUAAUGUAUCUAUAAUCUAUAUCUAUCUAAACUAUAUAUAUAAAUGGGAGAAUAAUGAAAUUUUCUAUUUUAGCCUUAAUUUAAAGUAAAAUUCCUAAUAAAUCCUUUUUAUGACUCUAUAUAUUUUACUUAUUUGUUUUGUCUAUAUAUUGUCUAUAUACAUAACUAGUUGAUGUAUUAGAAGUCGUAGGUUUUGCCAAAAUCAAAACAUAUGUAUUGCACAUUAAGAGUAUUAUGUCCAAUGAUUCUUAUAAUUAAUAGGUUCUCAUAUGAUAUUGCUUUCUAUAAGGUAAAUUGCAAACCUUAAUUCAAGUAUUAAAAAUGAAUCUUAAAUUCUUUUAAUUUAUUAUUUUUUGAAUUUUUUAAAAUAUGGUCAAAUAAUUUACUAUUAGCGUCUAUUAGUUAAACAAAAUGAAAUGAAAAUAACAUUUUUUAAAUAUAUUAUAUUCUAAAAAUUUUUAUAACUAUAAUUUAACAAAAACAAUAGAAUUAUGGAAUUAUAAUAUUGGACUAAUAUAUCAAAUAAGAAAGUUUUUUCUUUUUGUAGUCUAAUGAAAUAUUUUUGAAAAAAUAGGCUAUAAAAGUUUGAAUUAAUAAAAAAAUAGAUAUUUAAGCAUAUUUGCUAUUAUUUUUAUUUUCAGCUUUUAUAUAUGAAAGAUGAAGAGAAAUUUCAAGAGCUAUCUUCUUAUUCAAUAUUUUAUUCUACUUUUUUUUGAAAUUUAUCAAAUUUCAUUUAAUUUUCUAUGAUUUAAUUGUAUGUUUUUUUUAAAAUAGAUAUAAAGAUCAUAAACCUUUGAGAUUUUAAUUUUUUUCAGACUAGGUGAAGGUGUGUAAGUUGCUCGGGCUGUUUUAUUUGUUGUACAUUGUACUUUGUUUUAAAAAAAAUUUUAUUUAUAACUUUAUACUAAAUGAAUAAUAAAGAUAAUAGAAAAUAUUUUUAAAUAAAAAUAAAUUUGAGCUAAACUUAUUUAAAUUUUCAAAUCCUUAAGUUUAUAACUAUAUCUCAAUUUUUUAAUGGAGUUUUAUGAACCUAGAAAUUAAGUUUUAUGAAGUAACAAAAAAAAAAAAUACUCCUAAAUUUUGAUUAUAAAGCAGUCUUCAAUUCGAAUUGACAUUUGAACUUAUGUAAAAAUGCCGCCAGUGUAAACAUAUUGCCUUUCUACUGUUUGCUAAGAAGAAUGAAGAAGAAUAUUAUUUUCCAUAUAUGAAUUAUGUAUACAUCAUAGUCUAAUAUAGUACAAGGCAUAUCUAAUUAUGGUAACAAAUAAACUAAUUAUGAUGAAAGAUAUUGUUGCUGAUUUAGUUGCUAAUUUUCUUUCUAAAUAUAUGUGAUUUUAUUCUGCUAAUACUCCCCCUCAAGUUGAAUAGUGGGAUUUCCGAUAUUCAACUUGCACAACACUUCAUUGAACACUCGCCCUGUCACAGCUUUUGUAAGAAUAUCGGCUAGUUGGUCUUCUGAUCUAACAAAUGGAAGUUCUAUGAUGCCACCCUUAAUAUUUUCCUUAAUAAAUUGCCGAUCCACUUCCAUAUGUUUUGUUCUGUCAUGCUGUACAGGGUUCUCGGAGAUGCUUAUUGCUGCCAUAUUAUCACAUUUUAGCAUACUUGGAAGUUUUGGGGAAAAACCAAUUUCAGUCAUCAGCUUCUUAAUCCACAAAAUUUCUGCAACUCCCCUAACAACUCCCCUGAAUUUUGCUUCAGCACUAGAGAGUGCCACCACCUUUUAUUUCUUACUCCUCCAAGUUACUAGAUUCCCAUCGACCAGAGUAAAGUAUCCUGAAGUAGAUCUUCUAUCAUUUGGAUUUCCUGCCCAAUCUGCUUCAGUGUACGCUUCAAUAUCCAGUGUCCAUUUUUCUGAAAUAUGAUCCCAUUUCCCGGUGUGCCCUUCAAAUAUCGCAUAAUCCUCAUGACUGCCUCCAUAUGAUCCUCCUAUGGUUGGUGCAUAAAUUGACUUACAACUCCCACAGCAUAAGCUAUAUUUGGUCUAGUAUGAGAUAAAUAAAUUAACUUUCCAACUAGUCAUUGGUACCGUUCUUUAUUUGCCAAAUUUCCAUUUGUUACACUUCGAAGCCCAUGGUUGACUUGUAAUGGGUAUCCGCUGGUUUGCAAUUGACCAUCCCAAUUUUUGUAAGUAAGUCAAGAACAUAUUUUCUUUGAGAUAUAAAGAUUCCUUUGCCAGACCGUAAAACCUCUAUUCCCAAGAAAUAUUUCAACCCACCUAAGUCUUUCAUCUCAAACUCUUUGAAUAGGUUUUGACGAAGUUUUGCAAUUUCUUCCACAUCACUCCCUAUUAUGAUCAUAUCAUCAACAUAAAUUAUCAAACAUGUGAUUAGGGUCCCUCUCUUCUUCAAGAAAAGAGUAUCAUCUGAGUUACUCUGCUUAUAACCAUACUGCUUCAUUGCUACUGUGAAUCUCCUAAACCAGGCCCGUGGAGACUAUUUAAGCCCAUAAAGUGCCUUCCAAAGUCUACAAACUUCAUUUCCCUUAAAUUCACUAGAGAAAGUUGGUGGAGCUUCCAUGUACACCUCUUCUUUCAGGUCUCCAUGAAGAAAGGCAUUCUUUACAUCAAACUGAUGAAGAGGCCAGUCAUUGUUUGCUGCUAUAUAAAACUCGAAUUGUAUCAAUUUUUGCCACUGGAGAAAAAUUUUCAGAAUAGUCUAUUUCAUACGUCUGUGUAUAUCCUUUUGCCACAAGUCGAGCUUUAUAUCUUUCUACGGUUCUGUCAACUUUAUGUUUGAUGGUGAAGCCCCAUCUGCACCCAACUGGUUUUUUCCUGCUGGAAGCUUACACUUUUCCCAUGUACCAUUUUUUUCAAGAGCAUCCAUUUCUGCCUUCAUUGCUAACCACCACUCCUUUUUUGGUUUGGCCUCUUGCACGGUUCUUGGAAUUUCUUUGUUGUACAAUGUUGCAGUAAAGACUUUUGCUGCUUCUGAGAUACUCCCCCUUACUAAAUUUCUCACAGGAUAUCUAGCAGUUCUUCAAACAUAUUCUGGUGAGUAUCGUCUUGGUGGAAUACCUCGAGUACUUCUGUGGGGCAGAACACGUCAACUAUCUUCCUCUAAUUCUUCCAUGAUGGGACUAGCAUUUUGUAAAACAUCAUUAUUAACAAAAGUAGGUACAGUUGAGACAGGUGAUUCAUUUACCUCUUGUUGAACAUCAUUCGAAGGAGUAUCACUAGGAGGCAUGUUGACAUUGGUCUGUUCCUGGUUGAUGAGUGGCUCAAAAGGAAUCUCCAAAGUAUCUGAAACCCCUGUAUCUGAAUUGUUUAAUAGAGUCACACCACUUAGCCAACUUAGUGGGUCACUACAAUUCUCCCCCUGAGCACUAGGUUGGGUAAGAUAGUAAUAUUCUGUCUCAAGAAAGUCAUAAUCCAUGGUUACAUAAAUGCGCCAAUUAUCAGGAUUGUAGCACCGGUACCCCUUCUGAUGAAGUGCAUAUCCCACAAAAAUACAUUUAACAGCACAGGGAUCUAGCUUAGUCCGUUCCAUUUUUGGAAUGUGGACAAAAACUGAACAUCCAAAUACUCGUGGUGGUAGGGUUAAGGCUUGUGAGAUGUCGGUUUGGGUUUCAAGAACUUGGAGUGGUGUUUUGUGAUCAAGAAUUUUUGUGGGCAGGCGGUUAAGAAGAUAGGCUGAUGUGGUAAGAGCUUCUGGCCAGAAAUACUUGGGUACCUUGGAUUUAAUCAUCAUUGCUUGGGUCAUUUCAAGAAGGGUGCGAUUUCUACAUUCUGCAACUCCAUUUUGUUGAGGCGUGUGAGGACAGGAGGUUUGGUGGAUUAGACCAUUUUCAUGGGAAAAAGUUUUCAUGGCACCAUUCACAUAUUCUCCACCAUUAUCCGAACAAAGAAUUUGAAUUUGUCGAUUAAACUGAGUUUGUAUCAUUCGGAAAAAGGCAACAAAUUUGUCAUGCACUUCAGACUUUUGUUUCAUAAAAUAUACCCAAGUCAUGCGAGAAUAAUCAUCAACAAACAACACAAAGUACUGAAAACCACUAUUAUUUGGGUAUGGAGUAGGUCCCCAUACAUCAGAAUGUAUCAAGGAAAAAAAUUGUUUUAACUCUAGUGUUACGUGGGCUAAAUGACACCCGAUGACUUUUUGCCAAAAUGCAAGUCUCACAUGAUAAAUGAGUAUCUUUAUUUUUAAAAAGUGCAUGAAAUAAAAAACGAAGAUAACUAAGGGAUGAAUGACCUAGUCGUCGAUGCCAUAGCCAGAUUUGGCGAUCAUUAGUCCCAUGACCCAUCAAAACAGUACUCUUGUGAGCCACUUUAUCAACAUAGUAGAGACCUCCGUACUCAGUACCACGCCCAAUGAUCUCCCCCGUAUGAAUGUCCUACAAAAGGCAAAAAUGUGGAUACAUUAGGACCACGCAAUUCAAUUUUUAAGUCACAUGACUUAUAGACAAAAGCUUGCAAGACAAUGAUGGAAUAUAGAGGCUAUUUUUUAAUUUUAAUGUAGGACUAAUAACAAUUGAUCCUUCUCCUUUAAGUUCUGACAAAUCCCCAUUUGCAGUUUGAACAUUAGUUUUUGAGGGCAAAACUGGACUAAUAAUAUCCGAUGGAUCAUGUGUCAUUGUGUCAGUAACCCCGCAAUCAAAAAUCUAGUCCGCUAUUUUUCCUUUCUCUCCUUUACCUUGUUUCUCUUCUCUGUUAGGGUUCACACCGCCUCCCAUUGCAGCAAACCCUUGCUGCCCAAAACUGUUGAUCCCUUUAUCUCUCUCUUGGCUGCUGCCAUCGUUGACGGUGGCCUCCGGGAUGCCCACAGCGGCGGCCGCCUUACUCCGCUUACCUUUAUUCAAUUUGUGAUUAUCCUCCCACCAAUCGGGAUAAGCCACCAACUGGAAACAUGUUUCUCGGGUAUGUUUUUUCAUCCCACAAUGUGUGCACUGGAGUAUUGUCUUAUCCUCAUGCGAUGAUGAUUUCCACUGUUUUUCGGUGCAAUCUGAGCGGUCGCGACCCCGUCCCACGAGCGAUCCAAAUCUGCUUCGGUCCCUUGUUGUUUUGAUAGCCAGUCCCGUCCCUAUGCCUCCCGAUGAUGUGUCUACAUUGCUGGUGGUUGCCGGUUUCAAAAUCUGGAGCCUGGCGGUCUCUCUACGAACAGUGGCGUAGGCUGACUCUAUUGAGGGAAGAGGUUCCUGCUUCAAGAUAUCUCUCCUGACAGCUUCAUAUUUAUCAUCAAUGGUAGUAAGGAACUGGUAUAGUCUCUGUUCUCCAAUAAAUUUAUUGAAUAUAAUGAUGUCUUCUGGAUCCUUCAUAGGAUUUGGUUGUUUUCGAUCUAUACUUAUCCGCAUGCUUUGUAGUUUGUUGCAAAGAUUUUCUAGAGUUUCCUGACCUUGCCGGAUUGUGCUUACUUUUCAGUGUAGAUCAUAUGUUUGAAGAGAAUCUACACCACUUCCAUAUGUUAUUGCUAACCCAUUCCACAGGGAUUUGGCUGUUGGAUAUUGUGCAACAUUGUUGAUUAAGUUGGAUACGAUGUUCUGAAUAAUCCACAUAAAAACAUCCUGAUCCAAUUGUUCCCAUCUCUCAAACUUUGGAUCAGAAGUUUCUGGUGGCAUUCCGGUGAGAUGAUGUGCUUUUCCUCUCCCACCAAUUGCCAUCCGCAUGAGACGUACCCAUAAUGGAUAAUUAUCACUAUUGAGUUUGAAUCCAAUUGACAGAUUGUCAGAAUUGGAUUCAAUGGCUUGUCGAUUACCCAGUCCAUUUCGCAGAAGACUGGCUAACUGGAGGAUUAAAUCAUCAGGGGGUGUCUGAUUUCCUGUGUAAUUUGAGGUUUCUGAUUUUUUUGACAUUGUUCUUAGUUUAUUUUUUCAGGUUAAGGAAUUUGGGUUUGGAAAUCGGUUGUGGCUUUUACAGGUAAAGGGUAGAUGAUCAGCACCAAGUUAUUGGUCCCAGAUCAUUACACUGCUCUGAUACCAUGUUUGCUAAGAAGAAUCAAGAAGAAUAUUAUUUUUCAUAUAUGAAUUCUGUAGACAUCAUAGUCUAAUAUAGUACAAGGUAUAUCUAAUUAUGGUAACAAAUAUGAUGAAAGAUAUUGUUGCUGAUUUUCUUCCUAAAUAUAUGUGAUUUUAUUCUGCUAAUAUCUACGUGUUUGUGUGUGUGUGUAUAUGUGAACCCCUACCCGAAAUAUUGGCAUAUAAUGAAUAUGCCUAAGGGCAGAAAUGCACGUGAAUGUGUGAGUCGCCACCUUGUUUAAUUAUUUUAGGGUAAACUAGGAAAAAACCCUAAGUUGACUCCAAUUUUAAUUAACCUAAUUACUAGAUUAAUUAACCCAAUGUUAAAGCAUGGUCUACAAACCCGAGAUGGAUCCCGAGACUAUGUCAUGCNNNNNNNNNNNNNNNNNNNNNNNNNNNNNNNNNNNNNNNNNNNNNNNNNNNNNNNNNNNNNNNNNNNNNNNNNNNNNNNNNNNNNNNNNNNNNNNNNNNNNNNNNNNNNNNNNNNNNNNNNNNNNNNNNNNNNNNNNNNNNNNNNNNNNNNNNNNNNNNNNNNNNNNAAGGGCUUUGAAUGGGUAUGCUUAAUGCAUGAGUGUGUGUAUGCUUUGUGCAUUUUGUUUAGGCAUUUUGCCAAAGAACUGAUUGAUUUGAUUAGGCGUUUGUCGCCAAAAGUGUUGAUUUAAGGCAAUUUAGCCAAAAAAGAAUGAUUUAGGCCAUUGUUGCCAAAAGUUGAUGUGAUUUAGGCAAUUUGUUUGCCAAAAGUGAUUAUUUGAAGGCUUUUAGCCAAAAUGAGUUGAUUUAGGCAAUUUGUUUGCCAAAAGUGAUNNNNNNNNNNNNNNNNNNNNNNNNNNNNNNNNNNNNNNNNNNNNNNNNNNNNNNNNNNNNNNNNNNNNNNNNNNNNNNNNNNNNNNNNNNNNNNNNNNNNNNNNNNNNNNNNNNNNNNNNNNNNNNNNNNNNNNNNNNNNNNNNNNNNNNNNNNNNNNNNNNNNNNNNNNNNNNNNNNNNNNNNNNNNNNNNNNNNNNNNNNNNNNNNNNNNNNNNNNNNNNNNNNNNNNNNNNNNNNNNNNNNNNNNNNNNNNNNNNNNNNNNNNNNNNNNNNNNNNNNNNNNNNNNNNNNNNNNNNNNNNNNNNNNNNNNNNNNNNNNNNNNNNNNNNNNNNNNNNNNNNNNNNNNNNNNNNNNNNNNNNNNNNNNNNNNNNNNNNNNNNNNNNNNNNNNNNNNNNNNNNNNNNNNNNNNNNNNNNNNNNNNNNNNNNNNNNNNNNNNNNNNNNNNNNNNNNNNNNNNNNNNNNNNNNNNNNNNNNNNNNNNNNNNNNNNNNNNNNNNNNNNNNNNNNNNNNNNNNNNNNNNNNNNNNNNNNNNNNNNNNNNNNNNNNNNNNNNNNNNNNNNNNNNNNNNNNNNNNNNNNNNNNNNNNNNNNNNNNNNNNNNNNNNNNNNNNNNNNNNNNNNNNNNNNNNNNNNNNNNNNNNNNNNNNNNNNNNNNNNNNNNNNNNNNNNNNNNNNNNNNNNNNNNNNNNNNNNNNNNNNNNNNNNNNNNNNNNNNNNNNNNNNNNNNNNNNNNNNNNNNNNNNNNNNNNNNNNNUUUUUCGGGAGUUCCGUACCUCCAAAAAAUAUUCCGGGACCAGUUCUGCGAUCCUCGCAAUUUUUCGGACGUUUCAAGUACCAUAUUGGCAUACUUUCGGUGAACUUUCCGAAUGUCCUCCAGUCCGGCCAGACUGUUUGCAGUCCGGGGAAACAUGCUUUUUGAGCCUCAAAAUUUGAGUAUUCACAGUUGCCCCCCACCGGCAACCGCCGGGGAUGGCGAGCGCCGCCACCGUCGCCGGCGGACUCCGCCUCCGUGACCGGCAGACUUGCUAGUCUUUCGUUCCAAAGGCUUUUUCGGGAGUUCCGUACCUCCAAAAAAUAUUCCGGGACCAGCUCUNNNNNNNNNNNNNNNNNNNNNNNNNNNNNNNNNNNNNNNNNNNNNNNNNNNNNNNNNNNNNNNNNNNNNNNNNNNNNNNNNNNNNNNNNNNNNNNNNNNNNNNNNNNNNNNNNNNNNNNNNNNNNNNNNNNNNNNNNNNNNNNNNNNNNNNNNNNNNNNNNNNNNNNNNNNNNNNNNNNNNNNNNNNNNNNNNNNNNNNNNNNNNNNNNNNNNNNNNNNNNNNNNNNNNNNNNNNNNNNNNNNNNNNNNNNNNNNNNNNNNNNNNNNNNNNNNNNUUUCACUUUUACAUUCAUUCUAAACUCUCCAAAUCAAAGAGCUUUCUAAAAUUCUCUCAACCUCCUCAUCAUGACUUCUCUGGGUCACAGCAGCGAUGAGGAUUUUCUGGGGUCUUUGGGAAUUUCCCUAGACAUCGACCUUACAGCGGACGUAGACACCCACGCUUCCGUGACUGGUAUCUACGCCCAGGUAAGUUUACUUUUCUCUUUUUAUCAUGUUUUGUAUUUUACUGUUUCAUUAGUAUGCAUACUAGGGUAGAACUAAGAUAUUAUCCUUAGUAAGGAACCGAGGAAUAACUUUUAGAUUGCUUUACCUUUUAGGACCCCUACAUCAAAUUGGAUGUGGGUGAGACCUCUGUGGCCGAAAUUUCGGUCGAGAUAUUCGAUCACAACAACCCAGUUGGAGCGAUUAUUANNNNNNNNNNCUGAGGCAUUUUGACGUGGGUCGGAGCAGCCACAAAGAAUUACUGGGUGCUUUGGCCGAGAGAUGGUGGGACACCACCAAUACUUUCCAUUUCCCUUGGGGCGAGAUGACAAUGACCCCCACUGAUUUUUCGAUGAUCUCCGGGAUUCCUUUUGGCAUUCGGCCGAUCGGGCUGUAUAAUGACUAGAGGACUGAGGUCUCUCCUGAUCGGAUGGUUUGAGCUGAUAGGGAUUGACCUACCCCGGAUUGUCGGGCCAAGCUCUACUACUCCUGUNNNNNNNNNNNNNNNNNNNNNNNNNNNNNNNNNNNNNNNNNNNNNNNNNNNNNNNNNNNNNNNNNNNNNNNNNNNNNNNNNNNNNNNNNNNNNNNNNNNNNNNNNNNNNNNNNNNNNNNNNNNNNNNNNNNNNNNNNNNNNNNNNNNNNNNNNNNNNNNNNNNNNNNNNNNNNNNNNNNNNNNNNNNNNNNNNNNNNNNNNNNNNNNNNNNNNNNNNNNNNNNNNNNNNNNNNNNNNNNNNNNNNNNNNNNNNNNNNNNNNNNNNNNNNNNNNNNNNNNNNNNNNNNNNNNNNNNNNNNNNNNNNNNNNNNNNNNNNNNNNNNNNNNNNNNNNNNNNNNNNNNNNNNNNNNNNNNNNNNNNNNNNNNNNNNNNNNNNNNNNNNNNNNNNNNNNNNNNNNNNNNNNNNNNNNNNNNNNNNNNNNNNNNNNNNNNNNNNNNNNNNNNNNNNNNNNNNNNNNNNNNNNNNNNNNNNNNNNNNNNNNNNNNNNNNNNNNNNNNNNNNNNNNNNNNNNNNNNNNNNNNNNNNNNNNNNNNNNNNNNNNNNNNNNNNNNNNNNAUACCAUUCGGCGCAAAAAAUCGCUGAGGGAUCUAAGGGCCUUUUUUGAUACUUGCACUCUGGAGCAGGUAAGUGCUUAGUAAUUCUCGAAUAUGUUAAAUAAAAAGGAUUUAUUAACACAUUUGCAUCUUUCAUAGGUUGAGGUGGGGGCGAUGACUGCCCGUCUAUAGAGUUGGAUUCAGGCCGACCCCCACUUCCAGCAGUCGGAUGCCUUGUCUCGGCGGAGGGUUAUCCUGUCGCACCCCGUCUUGAGACGAUAUUACUUAGGCGAGAGAGUAGACCUUCAGAUAAGAGGNNNNNNNNNNNNNNNNNNNNNNNNNNNNNNNNNNNNNNNNNNNNNNNNNNNNNNNNNNNNNNNNNNNNNNNNNNNNNNNNNNNNNNNNNNNNNNNNNNNNNNNNNNNNNNNNNNNNNNNNNNNNNNNNNNNNNNNNNNNNNNNNNNNNNNNNNNNNNNNNNNNNNNNNNNNNNNNNNNNNNNNNNNNNNNNNNNNNNNNNNNNNNNNNNNNNNNNNNNNNNNNNNNNNNNNNNNNNNNNNNNNNNNNNNNNNNNNNNNNNNNNNNNNNNNNNNNNGGUUGAGGGCCCGUCUCAGGCUGGGCCUAGUCGCCCGUCAGGUCCUUCCAGGGCUCCCUAGGCCAUCUCAGAGGAUACCGGGCCGCUUCAUCCAGGCCUGGCCAACCUACGUCUUCCAUACAGCAUUUCCGACAAUACUUCUGACGGCACUCUGGCUUUUCGGGAGGCCUCCCUGGAGAAUGUGGAUCGCUUGGAUCUUCCUCCCGUGGGCGAUAAAUCUCUCACAAAAAGGAUUCAUAAGAGAUUUGAUAUUGACUUGUGUUUUUUUUUUUUUUUUUGUAUGAUUUCCAGGUUCCUAACGGCUUGGUCAGUCAGAUGAUGGAGCUGAUGCUCGGGAUGCAGCAAGAACUUUCUGCGUCCUGGGCUCUGAGGGCCUUUGAUGAUCAGAGGAGGAGGAGGCCCCGUCGCUGAUGCCAUGGUUGCUAGAUCUUUCUUAUUUUUCUUUCUUUGCCUGUAUUUCUGUACUGAACUUUGACUGUACCUGCACUUGGUUAGUACUGAAAAUUUUAUAUGUAUGCAUGAUUAUCCACUUUGAUUUGUAAGAAAGCGAGAAUUUUUUUUUUCAUUUCGCUUUUUUUUUUACGGCAGCGGCCGCUGCCACCGCCUCCGGGCGCAUUUUUUAUAAAAACCUGCUUUUUUUCCAGAUUCCCUCAUUCUUUCUCGAAAUUCGUGCCAGAAAGCCAGUUUCUUCUCUUUUCUCUCUUUUCCUUGUUCUUUUCUUGUCAAAAAAAUGAACCCUUUUUAUAACCACAGCAUGCACAGCUGGACUAAGAGUCUCUCCAAAGUCGAAAAGAUCAACUUAGGGAGGUACGGUCUUUCUCCUAUCAUUACCCUUAGGGGAGUGGUAAUUGACUGGGAUUUUCUACAGGCCUACAUUAGACUUUGGGACCCAGAGGCUCACGUUUUUCGGUUCGGGGCCAUGAUGGAGGAGAUGUGCCCUCUUUUUGAGGAAUUCUGCGCUAUUAUAGGGUGCGAUCCUAUAUUGUGCAGGUUUUUCUUUUAAACUGCAGGAUUUUAGGUUGGGGUGAUAGGAUAGAACCUGACGAUUCUGGGUCUAGUUUCCCGCAAUUUGAAGGGUUUCCUGCAAUUUAAUUAUAUUAAAAUAGAUUUUUCUUAUAAAAAAAAAGGUACCCAUGGUGCCCACUGUCAAAUCCAUUUAAUAUAACAGGUAAUGAGUAAUGGGUAUUAAAAGAUCCAGGCCUCUACCUUACUUGUAUAUUGUGAUUUCACUAGCAAUACUUAUUGCAAACCAAUUUAUAACCACUCAUAGCGUCAUUCAAUUGAUCAGUAUGGAGGAGGACCCUAAAAUACACUUUCUACUUUAGUUUAGACCUAAGCUAAUGCUACAAGAACUUGGAAUCAAUUAGGAACUUCUUUCUAAAAACUAAUUGCUUUCUUUGGCUUGCUUAGAAGCACCCGAUCCGAUUUUAGCGGAUUCGGAUAGUGAAUAAACUGGUCUGGAAGAGAUUCGGAUAGUAUUUUUGCUACCUAUAUCGAGUUCGGGUUCAAGAACGCAGGUAUCUGCUAUCCGUUACCCAGUUAAUAAAUAUUUAACAAAUAUUUAAAAUAAUUAAUUUUAAAAUAAAAAAUUAUACAUACACACUUUUUAAAUUUUAAUUAAUGCUAUAAUUAUUUAAUAUUUAUGUUAUAUUUUUAUUAAGUCAAAAUAAAUAAUUUUAUAGUUUGUACUUGCUUUUUAUUUUAAAAAAUUAAAAUAAAAAAUAUUCUCAAUGCUAAACCGCUUUAGAUUUUUAAACGAGUAAUUAUAAUUGAGUUUGGGACGUGUUUGAGUAUCUAAUUUAUAAUCGGGUUCGGGUAGUGCAUUUUAAGCGGGUAUGUCACCCAUUGCCAUCCCUACUGAGGAGGAUGGAAGUAAAACCAUUUCCAAGAUAUCAAUGGAGAACUUACAAAACUAAAAAACAAAAAACGGUGGAGUAAGCAACUAAUGCUCAAUGAGAAUUAUGAAUAGAAGCAGGUGGGUAGCCAUCAUUUUUCGGCCGUCCUUAUCUAUAUUCAUUUAGAAUUUCACUACCCGUGCUCGUUCAGAACUCAUUAAAAUGAUUGAGUAUUUGCAAAUUUUAAACUAUUUAAAUAUGAACUUAUUCAAAAUACAUCUUUCCACUAAUACUCAGUAAGGUACCCAUGGCAUCCAUUAUCAAAACCAUUUAAUAUAGCAGGUAAUUAGUAAUGAGAACCUAGAGAUUUAUACCCCUAUCUACUUGUGUCCUUUACGAGUUGUAAUUUCACUAACCAUAUCCAUUUCAAACCUAUUUAUAAUUAUUCAUAUGCUCAUUCAAUUGGUCAGUGCGGAACAGAAUCCUAAAAUACCCGUUCUGCUUUCAUCUCUAGUUUACACAUAAGCCAAUGCUACAAGAGCUUGGAAAUUAAUUGAGAACAUCUUUCCAAACACUAAUUGCUUUCUUUAGUUUGCUUAGGAGGAUGGAAGUAAAACCAUUACCAAGAUAUCAAGGGAGAACUAACAAAACAAAAAAGGUAGUGCUCAAUGAGAAUUAUGAAUAGCAGAGAACCUUUAAGUAGUUUACAAGCAUAUAGGGUUUGUAGUGGGUAUUCCGAUUAGAGCAAGCAAUUUUAGUUUUUCUUUUUUUUUUUUGAGAGAGGUGGAGGUUGGCUGUGAAAUUGGGUUCAAAAUAAAGAGGGGCUUUUCCAUUUGGCCCUUAGCUUAAUUGACUAAUAAAUGCACAAGUAUGUUUUCAUCUUUUCAUAUGCAUUUAACCGCUAAAUGUUGAUUUUAAGGAAAACUACUUUAUUCAAUGGUGGCAAGCUAUAGAAUACACAAUUAUAUAUUUUUCAAAGACAUGGAUUAAGUAAUUUGUAAUUUGAGAUAAACUAAAAAGGAAAACAAAGUCUUUUUUUUUUUUUNNNNNNNNNNNNNNNNNNNNNNNNNNNNNNNNNNNNNNNNNNNNNNNNNNNNNNNNNNNNNUUUUUUUUUUUUUUUUACAGAAAAAGUUAUGCACCAUGGUCAACCCGUAAGAGAGUAGAUAACAAUGCAAAUUACAAACUCCAUUGAGGAGUAUUGUAAUCUGUCAUAUUUUAGAACUGUAUUUUAAAAAAUGUCAGUUUGACUUUAAAUAUUAAAAAAAUAAUUAUUUUCAUUAUUCAUUUACUAUUUUACCCUUAUAUUUUCGCCUUUAUUGUUAUCGUUAUCGCUGUUACUGUCAUCGCCGUUGUCGCCAUGGCUGCAAUUGUCAAUUCCAUCAUGCCUUUGUCGUCGUCGUUGCUUUUGUUAUCGUCAUUGUUGCUUUCGUCGUCAUUGUUGUCGUUGCCAUCGCGGGAAAUUGAUCACUGGUCAUAGUUGUCAUUGCCGGUCAUUGUGGUUGAAUCACAAAAGCCUUACUUUGUUGAGGUUAGUUUUAGUACUACUUAAUUUUUUUUUACCAAAAUUGAUCUUAGGUUAACUUCUAAACAUUUCUGACAUUUUAUUUAAUUUGAAAUCUUAUUUUCGAUAUAUUUUAAAUUGUCGCUAACUAAAUUUAGCUAUUUUAAUUAAAAAAUUAGAGAAGGAGAUAUAUAUUAAAUAUUAAUGACGUUUUGAACCUAUGACAAGAUCUCUUUAGCCAUCUAUAUUAAGGUCCAUUUGCUAAAAGGUAGAUCACUAUUAAAAUUCCUAAGUCUUCAUCCAAUUCAUUAUUUGGUCCAUUGGCUAAAGGUAGAUUACUAUUCAUUAUUUUUAAUAAAUACAAUUAUCUAUUAAAUUAUUCCUCAUUCCAUCUCCAUCUUUAUCUUCUUCCUGAGCUUAUUAUUUCUUUCCUAAAGCCACACUUGAUUGCCCAAUGCCUAAUACACAUGGUUUUAUUUAUGUUAUCAAACAGUCAUGCAUGGCCUUUAUUUAUCUCCUUCAGCUCUUUGAAACACCAUUUCUUUAAUAAUACAAUUUCUUUUUUUUUAGGGAAUGAUACAAUUACUUCUAGAUAAAUUAAGAAAAUUUAUAAAAAAUUAUAAAAACUAAAAGGAUAUAUAAUACUUGGUAUCAAUUAAAUUUGGUCGUGAUCGUAAAUAAAAAAUAUUAUAAACAAAUACUAUGUGUCAGUUUUUUCUCUCUUUUUUUCAUUUUUUUUACUACCAAAAUAAUUUUUUUUAAAAAGUCAAACAUACCUUAAUAAAUUAAAAACAAUAAAUUAAAAAAAAUAGAAUCAAAUUGUCAGCUAAACAAAAAAUAAUAUAUAAAUAUUGUUUUUAUAAAUUAAAUCAAUUUAUUUUACUGAAACUAUAAAAAUAACCUAAAUGGAGAAAGAUAAAUGAAUAUGCUAAUUAUUUGAUGCCUUUUACUUCCUUAAUCUUUGUUAAUGCCAAAUAAAAUUUGAAUAUAAAAAAAAUUAUAACACAGAAAAAUAUAAUAAACUGAAAGAGAAUUAAAUUUUCCUACUUAUACAUAUGCUACGUAAAAGAGAAUUUUUUUUUUAAAAAACAUAUUAUUACAUUUUCAUAAGCAAAUGAGGGAGUAAAAACUCGGAAAAAAAAAUCAAUAGGAAAAUAAAUGGAGCUAAAACUGAAAAUAAAAAAUUUUUAGAAGAUAGAAAAAUUGAUGAUAUAUUGUUAUUUGCAAAUAAGAUGUAUUAUUGUGAAGUUAAAGAGAUAAAGAGUAUUGUUGAGUUGAAAAAUGAUAUAAUAAAUUUAUUAUAAGGUUAUUAAAAUUAUUGAAAAAAGGUGAAGAAUUUUAUUAUUAAUGCAGUGAAUUUGAGUCGGAAUUUUUAAUUUUUUAAAAUAAAAUUAUUAAUUAUUUUAAAUAAUAAAUUCAAAAAAUAUUACUCUUAUUAAUACUAGUAUUCCUCCCUUACAAUAAGUGUCAUUUUUUUCUUUUUUUUUAUUCCAAAAUAAAUGUUGUUUUUAAUAAUUUCAAGACUCCAUUAAUUUUUUUUCCUAAUCUACCCUUAUAUAUUUAGUAUUUCUACUCAUAAUAUAAUUGUCCCUCAAUUACUCCCUGAGGGCAAUAUAAAUAUUUUAUAAAAUAAUUUUUAUAAAUUUUAGACUAUUGAUUGUGUUCAUUAAUCCAUGUACCGAGCUAAAAAAAUUAAAUCUCUUUCCAACUUAUACAUAAGGAAAGUGGUUGUAACAAAUUCGUGGCCCACUUCAAAUAGUAGUAACUGAGAAAAGAAAGUAAGGAAGAAAAUUAAUAUCCAACAAUUUACUAAUUAUAAAUUUAUGGAAAUUUCAAUUUUAUACUGCUCAAAUGCAUAAAUAUACUCAUAUAUCUUGAAGAUAACACAAGAUUUUUAUGUAAAAUACAUAAGUAAAUUUAUAUAUUACGUCAUUGUAUAUUUCAUCAUUAAUUAUUAUAAAAAGAGCAAGUUUUACGGUCAAUUAAAAAUCAUUUAAUAGAGUGGAUUUUAGCACAAAUCAUGCCAUUUUUAUCAUGUAAUUGUUCGUUUUACAACAACUAAUUUUAAAUUUUAAAAAUUAGAUUUUGUCAAUAAUAUCAUUUCCAAAUAUAAUAAUCAACGAAUUAAUUUUUUUCUAUUUUUAAUUUGUACAUGUCAUUCUUUCAAUAGUAAUAAUUUUAAAUUUCAAAUCUACACUUUACAAUUAAAUUAGGAUGCAGUUUACUUUCCUACUACAAUCCAAUUCCAACGGCUUGUUUGUUCAGCAAAAUAAAAUUUAAUUAAAUUAAUUUCCAAAUGUUGAACUUUAAAAAAAUUAUAUUAUAUAUAUAAUUAAUACAUGAGAUUUCUGAUAUGCUAGAAAUAAUUAAUACUCAGAAUCUCAAAAUAAUUAUUUUUUCUUAUGGCAAAGUGAAGUAGUACCAAAAAUUAAUUUUUGAUUAAAUUAUUAAAAUGAUUUUUUUAUCGAUUAAGUUCAAACCAUCAUGGCCUGUAUUUAUCUAUUAAAUUAAUACACUUGAUUGCCCAAUUUCCUCAUAUUGCCCGCGAUUUGCAGAAUUUUAGACUCAUUAAAAAGAAUCUCAAAGAGAAGCCUAUACUUUCAAAAAAAAAAAACCAUAAAGCUAGAGAACAAAUAUAAUAAAAUCAGAAUAUUUGUUAAAUUAAUUAACUUUUCAACAUAAUAUAACAUACAUAAAAAUUUAUGUACGCAAAUUAUUAUUCAACCUUUCAAUUGAACCUAAACAACACAUAAUCUGGUCCUGAAGUCCAUCUCUCUGGCUUUCUUUUUCUUCUCUAAGAAACAGGAAGAGGUGGAAUACUUUGUUCAUGCCUAAAAAAGUUAUCAGGAUCAACCUUAGUUUUUACUUGAACCAAUCUAUUAAAAUUAUUUUUAAAAUACUUAAUACCCCAAACGCUAGCUUCUGUAACACUAAAAUUAUUCUUGGUGUUUAUACCCAAAUCAAGAUCCCUGUAAUUAACAUAGGCAGUUCUUGGAUUAUUACCAACCAAAGGCUCCAUAUAAUUAUAAAGCUUUCUUAUCCAAUCAAUAUGCUUUGCUUCACUCUUCUGUCCAUCUUGCCAAUUAGAAGCAUACUGAAUCAUGAAUAAAAUCCCUUUUCUGUUAGGAAAUGGAAUUUCAGAUUCUGAAAUCUCACUCAGCUUCCCUCCAAAAGGAUUCCAUAUCAUCAAUGGAGUUUCGUCUUCCAAGAAUAUUUUCCAAAGACCUUCCAACGCUGCUUCAGAAAUAGGUUCUUUAACAAAAUCUGAUUUUGCUUUAAAGUAAUUUUUAAAUAAAGAUUUAUGCUGCAGUAAAACUUCAGGCGCAGUAUUAGUCGGGUAACCCGCUGUAUAUAAAACCGAUUUGAGCCAACUCAUCUCUGUAGAAUCAUUUCUGGUUAAACCCAAUUCAGGAAAACUGUUUUCCGUAACAUUGAGAAGUCUGUUUACAUCGCCAAGAAACAAACCUUGAUAAGAAGUCGAUACAGUUCGUGCAACAGGAUUACCAACAUUAGACGGAUUAUAACACAGAAAAAUAGCAAAAUAAAAUUUAAUUAAAUUAAUUUCCAAAUGUUGAACUUUAAAAAAAUUAUAUUAUAUAUAUAAUUAAUACAUGAGAUUUCUGAUAUGCUAGAAAUAAUUAAUACUCAGAAUCUCAAAAUAAUUAUUUUUUCUUAUGGCAAAGUGAAGUAGUACCAAAAAUUAAUUUUUGAUUAAAUUAUUAAAAUGAUUUUUUUAUCGAUUAAGUUCAAACCAUCAUGGCCUGUAUUUAUCUAUUAAAUUAAUACACUUGAUUGCCCAAUUUCCUCAUAUUGCCCGCGAUUUGCAGAAUUUUAGACUCAUUAAAAAGAAUCUCAAAGAGAAGCCUAUACUUUCAAAAAAAAAAAACCAUAAAGCUAGAGAACAAAUAUAAUAAAAUCAGAAUAUUUGUUAAAUUAAUUAACUUUUCAACAUAAUAUAACAUACAUAAAAAUUUAUGUACGCAAAUUAUUAUUCAACCUUUCAAUUGAACCUAAACAACACAUAAUCUGGUCCUGAAGUCCAUCUCUCUGGCUUUCUUUUUCUUCUCUAAGAAACAGGAAGAGGUGGAAUACUUUGUUCAUGCCUAAAAAAGUUAUCAGGAUCAACCUUAGUUUUUACUUGAACCAAUCUAUUAAAAUUAUUUUUAAAAUACUUAAUACCCCAAACGCUAGCUUCUGUAACACUAAAAUUAUUCUUGGUGUUUAUACCCAAAUCAAGAUCCCUGUAAUUAACAUAGGCAGUUCUUGGAUUUUUUUCAACCAAAGGCUCCAUAUAAUUAUAAAGCUUUCUUAUCCAAUCAAUAUGCUUUGCUUCACUCUUCUGUCCAUCUUGCCAAUUAGAAGCAUACUGAAUCAUGAAUAAAAUCCCUUUUCUGUUAGGAAAUGGAAUUUCAGAUUCUGAAAUCUCACUCAGCUUCCCUCCAAAAGGAUUCCAUAUCAUCAAUGGAGUUUCGUCUUCCAAGAAUAUUUUCCAAAGACCUUCCAACGCUGCUUCAGAAAUAGGUUCUUUAACAAAAUCUGAUUUUGCUUUAAAGUAAUUUUUAAAUAAAGAUUUAUGCUGCAGUAAAACUUCAGGCGCAGUAUUAGUCGGGUAACCCGCUGUAUAUAAAACCGAUUUGAGCCAACUCAUCUCUGUAGAAUCAUUUCUGGUUAAACCCAAUUCAGGAAAACUGUUUUCCGUAACAUUGAGAAGUCUGUUUACAUCGCCAAGAAACAAACCUUGAUAAGAAGUCGAUACAGUUCGUGCAACAGGAUUACCAACAUUAGACGGUGUGAUUAUUACUCUAAUGAAAAGAUCCUCGUCAAGUUUGUCAGCUACUUCAGUCCACCGGUGAAGAAUUUUAGUACCGUUUUGUUCUAAAGUCCUCGUAACUGUAAAAACUGUAACAGUAGAAGGAACCUGAACUAACUGUAGUUUCCAAGAAACAAUAAUUCCAAAACUACCCCCAGCGCCACCUCUAAUUGCCCAAAAAAGAUCUUCGCCCAUAGCUUGACGAUCAAGCAGUCUACCAUUAACAUCAAUGAUAUGAGCAUCAAUUACAUUAUCGGCACCAAGACCGUACUUUCGCAUCAUUCCACCAUAUGCGCCCCCCGUAAUAUGACCUCCGACUCCUAAACUUGUGUAAAGUCCGGCUGGAAAGCCGUGGGUUUGGCUUUUUUCUGCAAUUCUGUAAUAUACUUCGCCGAUGGUUGCGCCGGUUUGAACCCAUGCACUGUUAUCGUCAAUAUUGACGUCGACAGAACGGAGUCGUGAAAGAUCUAUAACGAAGAAGGGGUUGUCUAUUUCUGUUGCGUAAGAUAAACCUUCAUAAUCAUGGCCACCGCUACGCACUCUAAGGUGGAUGCCCAGCUGUUUUGAGCAGAUAACGGCAGCUUGGAUAUGGGUUUCCUUUAACGGGGUGAAGAUGAAUUCAGGUUUAGGAACGGAAGGUAAUAAGUAACGGAGGUUUUGAGCUGUGGAAUUCAAGAUUGAAGGGAAUGAGGAAUUGUUUGGUGUGAAAAAUGUAGAAGAGAAAGGAAUCUGGAGUUUGGAAUUGCGUUUUAGACAACGGAGAAAAGAGUCGCCAAUUGGAACUGAAAGAAUGAAAGAAGGUGAGAGUAGAAGGAAGAGAACAAGCACUGAAUAAGAGAUUGAAGAAGCCAUUUUCUUGCGUUUGUGUUUUGGGUAAGCGAAGUUUCAUUUUUAUACAGAAUGUGAGUUUGAUUGUCAGUUGUUGAACGAUGUUACAGAUAAGACUAUGCUGUAAUAUGCUAUUGACAAGGUAAAUCAUGAAUAUAUAAAGUAAAUAAAUGAUUUUCCUUUUAUUAAAAAUAUUACUUUAAAAAGCCUUAACUGCCGUUAAAAACAUAUACCGGAUGGACGAAAAACCUUAACUGUGAUUAAAUUCGAACCGAAUUUCUGAAUUCUGAUGGUUUACACCCAAAAACAUUCUUUUAAAAAGUCUAUUUCAGAUUUAUCGUUAUAUUACUCCAUUAAAUCUCUCUAUCCUACAAAACCGAUUUGUUUGCUAAAAAUAAUUAGAAAUUCAUUACAGUGAUACUGUCCUGUUUAUGUCAUAAUAAUAACUAGCAUAUGCCUCGGAUACGCAUUUAUAAUUUGGCUUGGAAAAAAUUUAUAAUUUAAAUUAUUUUUAAUUUUAUAGUUGGUAAUUUUGUUGAAAACAAUACUGAAAAUUUCCCCAAAAAAAAUCUUUUUAAAAAUUGAGUAAGACAUAGAUAAUAUGAACGUUUAGUAUUAACAUAGUAAAAAUUAGAUGUUAUUUCUAAUAUUUAUCUAUCAUCUAUAAUGUAUCUAUAAUCUAUAUCUAUCUAAACUAUAUAUAUAAAUGGGAGAAUAAUGAAAUUUUCUAUUUUAGCCUUAAUUUAAAGUAAAAUUCCUAAUAAAUCCUUUUUAUGACUCUAUAUAUUUUACUUAUUUGUUUUGUCUAUAUAUUGUCUAUAUACAUAACUAGUUGAUGUAUUAGAAGUCGUAGGUUUUGCCAAAAUCAAAACAUAUGUAUUGCACAUUAAUGAGCGGAGCAAUUGAUUGAAAAAUAAAACAAAUUAUAUUAUAAUUUAGUAUAUAUUUAAUUUAAUUUCAUAAAUAUUUGAUUGGCGAUAUAUAAUAUUAAAUAUUAAAUUUGGCUUUCCCCGAUAUUCGUAGCUAUUUAUUGUAUAUAUAAUAAUAUAUAUUUUAAUAUUAGUAAUGUGUGGGUAUAUAAUCUCUAAUAUAGUUUUAUAAUUAUAAAAUGGUUUAAUCAAAUUGAAUUUACGGGCUACACCACAAACAUGUUAGUUUGUUUUUCAAAUUUUUGAAUACAUUGAAUUAGAAAAAGUGAAUUCUUUAUUUAAAAUUUCUAAUAUAAAUGGAACAUCUUAGAAAACAAAUUAUUGCCUAUUUAAUGAGUAUUCUAUUAAUUUUAAUUUUUAAUCUAUAAUCUAUAUUCAAUUUUAUAAUCUAUAAUCUAUCUAUAAUCUAUAAUCUAUAUAAAUGUGGGAAUAAAGGAACAGUGGGAUUUCCUAUACUAGCCUUAGUUUAAUUUAAAAUUCAUAAUAUAUCCUCUUAGUUAGAUUUUUAAUGCAUUCUAAUCGGAGAAAAUAAGUUCAUUUAUCCUUUUGAAUAUAUUUUAGUUAUAUUUUUUUAUGCAUUUUAAGUUGAGAAAAUAAAUUCAAUUUAUCAUUUUGAAUAUCUUUUUACUUAUAUUUUUAUGCGUUUUAAUUCAAGAAAAUAUGUUUAUUUAUAUUCUCUAUUUGAUCUUGCAGUAUUAUAUCCAAUGAUUCUUAUAAUUAAUAGAUUAUCAUAUGAUAUUGCUUUCUAUAAGGUAAAUUGCAAACCUUAAUUCAAGUAUUAAAAAUGAAUCUUAAAUUCUUUUAAUUUAUUAUGUUUUGAAUUUUUUAAAAUAUGGUCAAAUAAUUUACUAUUAGGGUCUAUUAGUUAAACAAAAUGAAAUGAAAAUAACAUUUUUUAAAUAUAUUAUAUUUUCAAAAUUUUUAUAACUAUAAUUUAACAAAAACAAUAGAAUUAUGGAAUUAUAAUAUUUGACUAAUAUAUCAAAAUAAGAAAGUUUUUUCUUUUUGUAGUCUAAUGAAAUAUUUUUNNNNNNNNNNNNNNNNNNNNNNNNNNNNNNNNNNNNNNNNNNNNNNNNNNNNNNNNNNNNNNNNNNNNNNNNNNNNNNNNNNNNNNNNNNNNNNNNNNNNNNNNNNNNNNNNNNNNNNNNNNNNNNNNNNNNNNNNUAUUCUACUUUUUUUUAAAUUUAUCAAAUUUUAUUUAAUUUUCUAUGAUUUAAUUGUAUGUAUUUUUUUUAAAAUAGAUAUAAAGAUCAUAAACCUUUGAGAUUUUAAUUUUUUUCAAACUAAUUGAAGGUGUGUAAGUUACUCGGGUUGUUUUAUUUGUUGUACAUUGUACUUUGUUUUGAAAAACAUUUUAUUUAUAACUUUAUACUAAAUGAAUAAUAAACAUAAUAGAAAAUAUUUUAAAUAAAAAUUAAUUUGAGCUAAACUUACUUAAAUUUUCAAAUCCUUAAGUUUAUAACCAUAUCUCAAUUUUUUAAUGGAGUUUUAUGAACUUAGAAAUUAAGUUUUAUGAAGUAACAAAAAAAAAAAAUACUCCUAAAUUUUGAUUAUAAAGCAGUCUUCAAUUCGAAUUGACAUUUGAACUUACGUAAAAAUGCCGUCAGUGUAAACAUAUUGCCUUUAUACUGUUUGCUAAGAAGAAUCAAGAAGAAUAUUAUUUUUCAUAUAUGAAUUCUGUAUACAUCAAAGUCUAUUAUAGUACAAGGCAUAUCUAAUUAUGGUAACAAAUAAACUAAUUAUGAUGAAAGAUAUUGUUGCUGAUUUAGUUGCUGAUUUUCUUUCUAAAUAUAUGUGAUUUUAUUCUAAUAUAAAUGGAACAUCUAAGAAAACAAAUUAUUACCUAUUUAAUGAGUAUUCUAUAUAUUAAUUUUAAUUUUUAAUCUAUAAUCUAUAUUUAAUUCUAUAAUCUAUAAUCUAUCUAUAAUCUAUAAUCUAUAUAAAUGUGAGAAUAGAGGAACAAUGAGAUUUCCUAUACUAGCCUUAGUUUAAUUUAAAAUUCAUAAUAUAUCCUCUUAGUUAGAUUUUUAAUGCAUUCUAAUUAGAGAAAAUAAGUUCAUUUAUCCUUUUGAAUAUAUUUUAGUUAUAUUUUUUUAUGCCUUUUAAGUUGAGAAAAUAAAUUCAAUUUAUCAUUUUGAAUAUCUUUUUACUUAUAUUUUUAUGCGUUUUAAUUCAAGAAAAUAUGUUUAUUUAUAUUCUCUAUUUGAUCUUGCAGUAUUAUGUCCAAUGAUUCUUAUAAUUAAUAGGUUAUCAUAUGAUAUUACUUUCUAUAAGGUAAAUUGCAAACCUUAAUUCAAGUAUUAAAAAUGAAUCUUAAAUUCUUUUAAUUUAUUAUGUUUUGAAUUUUUUAAAAUAUGGUCAAAUAAUUUACUAUUAGGGUCUAUUAGUUAAACAAAAUGAAAUGAAAAUAACAUUUUUUAAAUAUAUUAUAUUUUAAAAAUUUUUAUAACUAUAAUUUAACAAAAACAAUAGAAUUAUGGAAUUAUAAUAUUUGACUAAUAUAUCAAAAUAAGAAAGUUUUUUCUUUUUGUAGUCUAAUGAAAUAUUUUUUAAAAAAUAGGCAAUAAAAGUUUGAAUUAAUAAAAAAAUAGAUAUUUAAGCAUAUUUGCUAUUAUUUUUAUUUUCAGCUUUUAUAUAUGAAAGAUGAAGAGAAAUUUCAAGAGCUAUCUUCUUAUUCAAUAUUUUAUUCUACUUUUUUUUGAAAUUUAUCAAAUUUCAUUUAAUUUUCUAUGAUUUAAUUGUAUGUAUUUUUUUAAAAUAGAUAUAAAGAUCAUAAACCUUUGAGAUUUUAAUUUUUUUCAAACUAGGUGAAGGUGUGUAAGUUGCUCAGGUUGUUUUAUUUGUUGUACAUUGUACUUUGUUUUGAAAAAAAAUUUAUUUAUAACUUUAUACUAAAUGAAUAAUAAACAUAAUAGAAAAUAUUUUAAAUAAAAAUUAAUUUGAGCUAAACUUACUUAAAUUUUCAAAUCCUUAAGUUUAUAACCAUAUCUCAAUUUUUUAAUGGAGUUUUAUGAACUUAGAAAUUAAGUUUUAUGAAGUAACAAAAAAAAAAAAUACUCCUAAAUUUUGAUUAUAAAGCAGUCUUCAAUUCGAAUUGACAUUUGAACUUACGUAAAAAACCGCCAGUGUAAACAUAUUGUCUUUCUACUAUUUGCCAAGAAGAAUCAAGAAGAAUAUUAUUUUUCAUAUAUGAAUUCUGUAUACAUCAUAGUCUAAUAUAGUACAAGGCAUAUCUAAUUAUGGUAACAAAUAAACUAAUUAUGAUGAAAGAUAUUGUUGCUGAUUUAGUUGCUGAUUUUCUUUCUAAAUAUAUGUGAUUUUAUUCUGCUAAUACUCCCCCUCAAGUUGAAUAGCGGGAUUCCCGAUAUUCAACUUGCACAACACUUCAUUGAAUACUCGCCCUAUCACAGCUUUUAUAAGAAUAUCUGCUAGUUGGUCUUCUGAUCUAACAAAUGGAAGUUCUAUGAUGCCAUCCUCAAUAUUUUCCUUAAUAAAUUGAUGAUCAACUUCCACAUGUUUUGUUUUGUCAUGCUGUACAGGGUUCUCGGAGAUGCUUAUUGCUGCCAUAUUAUCAGAUUUUAGCAUACUUAGAAGUUUUGGGGAAAAACCAAUUUCAGUCAUCAGCUUCUUAAUCCACAAAAUUUCUGCAACUCCCUUAGCAACCCCCCUGAAUUCUGCUUCAGCGCUAGAGAGCGCCACCACCUUUUGUUUCUUACUCCUCCAAGUUACUAGAUUCCCAUCGACCACAGUAAAGUAUCCUGAAGUAGAUCUUCUAUCAUUUGGAUUUCCUACCCAAUCUGCAUCAGUGUACGCUUCAAUAUCCAGAUGUCCAUUUUUCUUAAAUAUGAUCCCAUUUCCCGGUGUGCCCUUCAAAUAUCGCAUAAUCCUCAUGACUGCCUCCAUAUGAUCCUCCUGUGGUUGGUGCAUAAAUUGACUUACAACUCCCACAGUAUAAGCUAUAUCUGGUCUAGUAUGAGAUAAAUAAAUUAACUUUCCAACUAGUCGUUGGUACCGUUCUUUAUUUGCCAAUUUUCCAUUUGUUACACUUCGAAGCCCACGGUUGACUUGUAUUGGGUAUCCGCUGGUUUGCAAUCAACCAUCCCAAUUUCUGUAAGUAAGUCAAGAACAUAUUUUCUUUGAGAUAUAAAGAUUCCUUUGCCAGACUGCAAAACCUCUAUUCCCAAGAAAUAUUUCAACCCACCUAAGUCUUUCAUCUCAAACUCUUUGAAUAGGUUUUGACGAAGUUUUGCAAUUUCUUCCUUAUCACUCCCUGUUAUGAUCAUAUCAUCAACAUAAAUUAUCAGACCUGUGAUUAGGGUCCCUCUCUUCUUCAAGAAAAGAGUAUGAUCUGAGUUACUCUACUUAUAACCAUACUGCUUCAUUGCUACUGUGAAUCUCCCAAACCAGGCCCGUGGAGACUAUUUAAGCCCAUAAAGUGCCUUUCGAAGUCUACAAACUUCAUUUCCCUUAAAUUCGCUAGAGAAAGCUGGUGGAGCUUCCAUGUACACCUCUUCUUUCAAGCCCCCAUGAAGAAAGGCAUUCUUUACAUCAAACUGAUGAAGAGGCCAGUCAUUGUUUGCUACUAUUGAGAAUAAAACUCGAAUUGUAUCAAUUUUUGCCACUGGAGAAAAAGUUUUAGAAUAGUCUAUUCCAUACGUCUGUGUAUAUCCUUUUGCCACAAGUAGAGCUUUAUAUCAUUCUAUGGUUCCGUCAACUUUAUGUUUGAUGGUGAAGACCCAUCUGCACCCAACUGGUCUUUUUCCUGCUGGAAGCUUACACUUUUCCCAUGUACCAUUUUUUUCAAGAGCAUCCAUUUCUGCCUUCAUUGCUAACAACCACUCUUUUUUUGGUUUGGCCUCUUGUGCGGUUCUUGGAAUUUCUUUGUUGUACAAUGUUGCAGUAAAGACUUUUGCUGCUUCUGAGAUACUCCCCCUUACUAAAUUUCCCACAGGAUAUCUAGCAGUUCUUCAAACGUGUUCUGGUGAGUAUCGUCUUGGUGGAAUACCUCGAGUCCUUCUGUAGGGCAGAACACGUCUACUAUCUUCCUCUAAUUCUUCCAUGAUGGGAUUAGCAUUUUGUAAAACAUCAUUAUUAACAAAAGUAGGUACAGUUGAGACAGGUGAUUCACUUACAUCUUGUUGAACAUCAUUCGAAGGAGUAUCACUAAGAGCCAUGUUGACAUUAGUCUGUUCCUAGUUGAUGAGUGGCUCAAAAGGAAUCUCCAAAGUAUCUGAAACCUCUGUAUCUGAAUUGUUUGAUAGAGUCACACCACUUAGCCAACUUAGUGGGUCACUAUUAUUCUCCCCCUGAGCAUUAGGUUGGGUAAGAUAGUAAUAUUCUGUCUCAAGAAAGUCAUAAUCCAUGGUUACAUAAAUGUGCCGAUUAUCGGGAUUGUAGCACCGGCACCCCUUCUGAUGAAGUGCAUAUCCCACAAAAAUACAUUUAACAACACAGGGAUCUAGCUUAGUCCGUUCCAUUUUUGGAAUGCGGAAAAAAACUGAACAUCCAAAUACUCGUGAUGGUAGGGUUAAGGCUUGUGGGAUGUCGGUUUGGUUUUCAAGAACUUGGAGUGGUGUUUUGUGAUCAAGAAUUUUUGUAGGCAGGCGGUUAAGAAGAUAGGCUGAUGUGGCAAGAGCUUCUGGCCAGAAAUACUUGGGGUACCUUGGAUUCAAUCAUCAUUGCUCGAGUCAUUUCAAGAAGGGUGCGAUUCCUACAUUUUGCAACUCCAUUUUGUUGAGGCGUGUGAGGACAGGAGGUUUGGUGGAUUAGGCCAUUCUCGUGGAAAAAAGUUUUCAUGGCACCAUUCACAUAUUCUCCACCAUUAUCCGAACGAAGAAUUUGAAUUUGUCGAUUAAACUAAGUUUGUGUCAUUCGGAAAAAGGCAACAAAUUUGUCAUGCACUUCAGACUUUUGUUUCAUAAAAUAUACCCAAGUCAUGCGAGAAUAAUCAUCAACAAACAACACAAAGUACUGAAAACCACUAUUAUUUGGGUAUGGAGCAGGUCCCUAUACAUCAGAAUGUAUCAAGGAAAAUAAUUGUUUUAACUCUAGUGUUACAUGAGCUAAAUGACACCCGAUGACUUUUUGCCAAAAUGCAAGUCUCACAUGAUAAAUGAGUAUCUUUAUUCUUAAAAGUGCAGGAAACAAAAAACGAAGAUAACUAAAGGAUGAAUGACCUAGCCAUCGAUGCCAUAGCCAGAUUUGGCGAUCAUAAGUCCCAUGAGCCAUCAAACCAGUACUCUUGUGAGCCACUUCAUCAACAUAGUAGAGACCUCCGUACUCAGUACCACGCCCAAUGAUCUCCCCCGUAUGAAUGUCCUGCAAAAGGCAAAAAUAUGGAUACAUUAGGACCACGCAAUUCAAUUUUUGAGUCACAUGACUUAUAGACAAAAGCUUGCAAGACAAUGAUGGAACAUAGAGGCUAUUUUUUUAAUUUUAAUGUAGGGCUAAUAACAAUUGAUCCUUCUACUUUAAGUUCAGAAAAAUCCCCAUUUGCAGUUUGAACAUUAGUUUUUGAGGGCAAAACUGGACUAAUAAUAUUCGAUGGAUCAAGUGUCAUUGUGUCGGUAGCCCCGCAAUCAAAAAUCUAGUCCGUUAUUUUUCCUUUUUCUCCUUUACCUAGUUUCUCUUCUCUGCUAGGGUUCACACCGCCUCCCAUUGCAGCAAACCCUUACUGCCUAGAACUGCUGAUCCCUUUAUCUCUCUCUUGGCCGCUACCGUUGUUGACGGUGGCCUCCGGGAUGCCCACAGCGGCGGCCGCCUUGCUCCGCUUACCUUUAUUCAAAUUAUGAUUAUCCUCCCACCAAUCGGGAUAACCCACCAACUGGAAACAUGUUUCUCAGGUAUGUUUUUUCAUCCCACAAUGUGUGCACCGGAGUAUUGUUUUAUCCUCAUGCGAUGAUGAUUUCCACUGUUUUUUGGUGGAAUCUGAGCGGUCGCGACACCGUCCCACGAGCGAUCCAAAUCUGCUUCAGUGCCUUAUUGUUUUGAUAGCCAGUCCCGUCCCUAUGCUUCCCGAUGAUGUGUCUACAUUGCUAGUGGUUGCCGGUUUAGAAUCUGGAGCCUGGUGGUCUCUCUACGAACAGUGGAGUGGGCAGACUCUACUAAGGGAAGAGGUUCUUACUUCAAGAUAUCUCUCCUGAUAGCUUCAUAUUUAUCAUCAAUGGCAGUAAGGAACUGGUAUAGUCUAUGUUCUCCAAUAAAUUUAUUGAAUAUAAUGAUGUCUUCUGGAUCCUUCAUAGGAUUUGGUUAUUUUCAGUCUAUACUCAUCCACAUGCUUUGUAGUUUGUUCCAAAGAUUUUCUAGAGUUUCCAAACCUUGGCGGAUUGUGCUUGCUUUUUGGUGUAGAUCAUAUGUUUGAAGAGAAUCUACACCACUUCCAUAUGUUAUUGCUAACCCAUUCCACAGGGAUUUGGCUGUUGGAUAUUGUGCAACUUUGUUGAUUAAGUUGGAUUCGAUGUUCUGAAUAAUCCACGUAAAAACAUUCUGAUCCAAUUGUUCCCAUCUCUUAAACAUUGGAUCAGAAGUUUCUGGUGGCAUUCCUGUGAGAUGAUGUGCUUUUCCUCUCCCACCAAUUGCCAUCCGCAUGAGACGUGCCCAUAAUGGAUAAUUAUCACCAUUGAGUUUGAAUCCAAUUGACAGAUUGUCAGAAUUAGAUUCAAUGGCUUGUUGAUUACCCAGUCCAUUUCGCAGAAGAGUGGCUAACUGGGGGAUUAAAUCAUCAGGGGGUGUCGGAUUUCAUGUGUAAUUUGAGGUUUCUGAUUUUUCUGACAUUGUUCUUGGUUUAUUUUUUGAGGUUAAGGAAUUGGAAUUUGGAAAUCGGUUGUGGCUUUUACAGGUAAAGGGUAGAUGAUGAGCACCAAGUUAUUGGUCCCAGAUCAUAACACUGCUCUGAUACCAUGUUUGCUAAGAAGAAUCAAGAAGAAUAUUAUUUUUCAUAUAUGAAUUCUGUAUACAUCAUAGUCUAAUAUAGUACAAGGCAUAUCUAAUUAUGGUAACAAAUAAACUAAUUAUGAUGAAAGAUAUUGUUGCUGAUUUAGUUGCUGAUUUUCUUCCUAAAUAUAUGUGAUUUUAUUCUGCUAACAUCUAUGUGUUUGUGUGUGUAUAUAUAUAGGUAUUUCAAUUGUAGUAAAAAGAAUUAAAAAGAGAUAAUAUCAACAUGAUCUCAACUGAAAAUGAAACUUUCGAUUUCAUUUUUUCCUGUAAAAUUGAAAAAAACACCAUUUUUCUUAUAGAUCAAACCCUCUUGAAGAGAAAAGAAAAUAAAAAAACAUCUGCAAAAAAAGUAGUCCCUAGCCUAACCUCUCCCCCAAUCAACCAACAACUCUAAAAUUACCCUUUAAAGGGAAGGCAAGAUUAAGGCAUCCCUGACUUAUUGCAUUAUUUGCAAAAUGUAGAGUUCCAACCAAAAAUUCACCCUUAUUUCCAUAUGUAACUCAUGCUUUCUUCAAAAUAAAAAGAGACAAAAAAAAAAAAAGAAAAUUAACCAUCUGUCAUCAAAAAUUGAAGAUGAUCAAAAGCAUAUACAGUUACAUAUAAAUUCACAUGAGAAUUAUAAAUAGGUAACUAGACCAAGUUGUCAGCCGAUAAAGUUUUAUCAAAGAGGGAUGAAAUGCAAAGGAUAGCUUACCAUUCCAAAGGUUGAACUUGAGUCGGUCCUCAUAAAAUACUAGGUGCUUAAACUCACUACAAAACUUCACAAAAUCAAGAAAAAGAAUAUCACAUCACGAAAGGGUAAAUUUUCAAAGCAAUCACAUUUGAACACUAAAAAUAGCAAUAAUACAACUAGAUAAUAUCAAAAGUAAAUUAUACCUUAUCAGAAAGCAAAAAACUUAAUUGGAAACUUAAAAAUUUUGCGCGAAACACAUACUUAUUGUAGAGAAGAAGAAAAUUUUAGAAAAAAUGAAUUGUUUUCGAAUAGAAGCAAAUGAUAUGAUGCAUGAAGGAAUAUGAUAUGUGCAUAAUUUGUUACUUUUAUUCUCAAUAUUUUUUGUGUUUCUAAAUUAUUUUUAAGUUUAACAUAGUUGGUUAGGCAAUUUUUAUCAAUUAGACAUGAUCUUACUUACUUUUGGAAUAAUAUAUUUAAUUUAAGAAAUUUCCAGCAUUUUUAUUGUCAUGACCUUUGUUCGGUUUUUCAGAAAUAUCUAAAGUUGUAAGCCUCCAAACUAGAUCCGUUUAUUCAUUGGAAAGAUGAAACAAAACUCUAUAAAUUUCUAAAAGAAUCAAAAUCCACUUCAGCCUCAAUGCCGAUCAAAAGUAACUCUGAAUCCAGGAGAAAUGUUUAGAAUGAGCAUGCACAGCAAGUUUCAGCGUUUAAUUCAUAUCUGGAGUUUUACAUGUCCAAAUAAACUCAGCCCAGGACCAUUUGAACCUUAAUAGCUAGCUCUACAAUUGUUAUGAAGACCACUAAGUGAAAUGACAUCAUUUUGAAUGCUAAAAAUGACAGAUAAGUUGAUCGUUCUGUUGUAACAUAUGUUGAAGACCUAUUUUGGUGCUUUUAUCAUAUCUUGAGCUGUGAGUAUCCAUUUUGGGAGAAUGAUAGCUCGUUGGAAAUAUGAGAAGGAGAUCUUCAAGUUUGUUGAAGAAUCAGAGAGAGAUUCAAAAAGAGAAGGGAUAAAAAAAAGAGAGAGAAAUCAGAACGAGAAGAUUUUCAAUUGAUUGCUUUCAAAAUCCCUAAUUAAUUGGGGAUUUUCUGUUGUCUUUGAGGCUAUAAAAGAAGUGAUUUUGGGAAUAUUAAGGUUUUUAUUUAGUUCAUCAUCUAUUUUGAGUAUCUUUCUUUAUUCUUUUAUUUUGGUGAUUGUAAGUCAUGGGCAUGAGUAGCUAAUUUCUUAGUUCAAUUCAAGGGAUUCAACAUCCAUUUGUAUAGUUGUGAGACAUGUUCUUACUUUAAAUUGAUUCUCUUUGAAUAUCUGUUGUUUCUUGCAUUUAAGGUGUUAGUUCUAUUGAACGAUUUGCUAAAAGGCCUAUUAGUCAAUUAUUUGGUAUGAUUAAGUGUUAUUUUAUCUUCAUAAUUGUAAUUGUUGUGUAAGAUUGAAUGUUAAUAGCAGUUAGGUUUUACUGAUUAUGUUCCAAGUUUUUGGUAAUAAUCUAACGAAACAAUAGGGUUGAAUUAAACAAUUUAUGCUUUUUAAAUUGUUAUGCAAGUUUAACUACUUCAUGUUCUUAAUGCUUUUAUUAGAUUGAAAAGAAUUGCUUAAUUCCGGUUCAUUUAAUAACUAGAGUUAAUGAGGGUGCUGGGCUCAAAUUAACGAUAAUAGGGAAGUCAGAGAAUUUAUCAUUCUUGUUGGUAAGUUUCAAUUAAGUAUUCAAAGAAAAAUUAAUUCAUAAUUUGUCUGUGAUCAUUUAUGCAUUGGAUUACAAAUCACUUUGAAUUGAAUGUUUGUUAGAUUGAAUUCCAAUUUAAGUUUAUUAGUUACUUUUCUUUUGAUUACCUUGAUUGAAUUUCCACAAACCAACCCCCUUUAAUUUAAAGAUUUCAGUCUCUAGGCUUCGACCUGAAUUCAUCACUUCUGCAGUUAAAUUCAGUAAUUAAUUUUUGGUGGAAUCGACAAACAUCAGAAUGAAUGAAUGAAUACGAUGAAUGCACCAUAAUGGAUAUAUUUGAAUUUUUAUAUAGAUUUUGAAUUUGUAAAGAGUUUGAAUUUUUGAGAUAUGAUUUUAUAUGAUAAGAGAUAGAGGGAGAAAAAGAAAAUACUGGAUAUAUAAAUAUAGAGAUACAGAUAAAAGAAAAAUUCAAAAAAUUCAAACUCUUUACAAAUUCAAAAUCUAUAUAAAAAUUCAGUAAGAAUGAAAGAAAUAAAUUAAAAAUGUAGAAAAUCAGUAAAAAAAAAAAAAGAAAAGAAAAAGAGAAAUGCUGAAAUAAUAAGAUGCCAACUCAGUUUUUCAUAGAUAUUUUUUGUUUAAAGAUUAUAUAUACAUGUAGAGAUAGAUAUUUUUUAAAUAAAUAUAUAGAACUUUGAAAUUUGUGAAUUUAAUCUCAUUUAUAUUUAUCUAUAAACUUGAGAAAUGAUCUUCUAUUGCUAAUAUUGUUGUUUGCACAUUGAUCCCUCUAUGGAACUGAAAACUUUAAGCAAUUUAUUUUCACAUUUUGUGUAAAACACAUGGAGUCCAAAAUAUUAUAAAUUAUUAACAAAAUCUCAGCUUAAAUUCAUUUGACAAAAAUAAGUGAUGUGAAUAUCUAAUUGUGGCUAGAUCAAGUCUGGAUUUAUUAGAUUAAUGUUACAGUAUCGCCAUAUUAUAAAAUAUUUUGUAAUAUGGUAAAUGCAAAGUUUUAGUUAUUUUAUAUACUUAAGUAAUAAUAAACUUUUUUAUUAAAACAGAGAAUCAAAAAAAUUAUUUUCUUUUAAAUUAGAUGUUAUAUGUUAAAAAAUAUAUUCAUUAUAUUUAUUUUAAUCUAAAUAAAAAUUUAUAUUUUAAUAUUAUAUAAAUAAAAAAUUAAACGAGUAUAUAACGAUCAAAUUCAACGUGCAACACACAUCAUAAAAGAACUAGUACUAUAUAAAAUGUGGGAAUAGAGGGAAAAAUGGGAUUUUCAAUAUUGUCCGUAAUGAAAUUUUCAAUAUCGUCCGUAAUGAAACUUUUAUCCUAAAAUAGUCUUAGUCAUAACAAAUUAGAAAAAAUUAUAUUUUAUACCAACGAGUGUUAGGAUAUGUGGUUCGAUAAUCUUCUCUCUUAAGUGAGGUCGAUAGUUUAAUCCUCAUAGAUGAAGCAAAUACUCGCUGUAAGUACCUUACCCUUCUUGGGCCGACCCGAUGCGAGCAGAAUUUAGUUUUAGUCCAAUAGGCUUGGGAUACAUGUGGUUAAAAUAAAAAAAAUUACAUUUUAUUAUUUGAUUAGAUAUAAUUUUAAAAAAUUAAAUAAAUAUAUACAGAUAAUAAAAAAGAAAAAAGUAAACUCUUCUUUUUCUGUAUGUUUGUAGGAAAAUUAAGUGUUUAUCUAACGAGGAUAGAACGUUUCAUUUAUGCAAUAUUUUUUAUUAAGUAAUUAAUUUAUUUAUUUAUUUUAAAUUUGCAACAUAGAAAGACAGAGAAAAAAAAUUAGAUCCUAAAAUUAUUUGCUUUGUAAUUUUCAAUUGUUGACUUGGCUAUAGUCUUUUUUUUUUUCGUGUAUCAAUAUCAAAUUUCAUUAAAUUACAGGUUUUGUAAUUUUCUUUUGUUGACUUGGCUAUAAUCUUUUUUUUUUUAUCUAUCAACAUCAAAUUUCAUUAAAUUACAGCAUUUUCAGUUAAAAAAUGGGUUAAUUUUUGAAAUUUAAAUUCGUAAUUUUUUUUUAAUAUAAUUUGUUUCUUGUUAUAUAUGGAAUUCCGAAAAGAUUUCUAUUUUUAAUAAUAAAUUUUUUUAUUUUUUCAUUAUUGAAUUAGUUUGUAACUAUUACUUUAAUUUAAUAAGAGAUUUAUAUCUCUUUUACAAUAAAUAGAUGAACUCUUGAUGAUUAAAUAUAAUUAAUUUUCUUAAUAUUUUGGUUACUAUAUUCUAAAUCUGUUUCACUUAAAAGAAAAUAAUGUUUAUAAAGUAGAAAAAACUUGAACAAUAUAUUUCUGUUUUAGGUCACUUUUUAGGUUUCAAAAAUUUGUGUGUUUGUACAUAUAUUCAUUUCUCUAAUGCAUUGGAUACCAUUAUUUAUCUGCUCAUUUUUUUUUAUUUACCCAACAUUAAAAAAUAAUUUAAUAUUAUUUUUCAUUCUAGUUAUAUAUAAAUAUUGAUUUGGAGUUGAGGGCAGAAGGUUAGAGAUUAAGUAAUGACUUGAUUUUCUCUUUGGGCACUUAUCAGAUUUAAGAAUUUGUGUUUAUAAAUUAAGGACUGAAGGAUUAGGUCUAAAGAUUGAGUUGAAUUUUAUAUUGAGACCACUUCAUUAUUAAAAAAUAAAAUUAAAUACGUAAGAAGUAGUUUGUACGACAAAGUCUAAUACAAAUUAAGCAAUUGUAUUUAUUUUAAUAUAGAUACAAAACCUUAUGUUUUAAUAUUAUAUAAUAAAAAAAUUAAAAGAGUAAAAAUAUAUAACGAGCAUAGUCAACAUGCAACACACGCCAUAAAAAAGACUAAUCUAUACUAUAUAUAAAUGUGGGAAUAGGAGGAGAAUAAUGAGAUUUCCGAUAUUGCCCUCAAUGAAAUUUAGAAUAUCUUAAAAUAGCCUUAGUUGUAGCCAAUCAAAAAUUAUAUUUUAUACCGAGUAUUUAGAUGAUUGGUUCGACACUCUUCUUCCUUAAGUAAGGUCGAAGGUUCGAUCCUCAUAGAUGGAACAAAUACUCGCUGAAGUGCUUUAUCCCUUUUUGGGCCGACCUGGUGCGAGCAAGAUUUAGUUAUAGCUAGUGGGCUCAAGAUAUCUAUGGUUAAAACGAAAAAAAAAAAAAUGAGGAAGAAGAAAAAAGUAUACACUUCUUUUUUUUUUUUUUUUACGGUUGUAGGAAAAAUUGUGGAUUUAUUUAGAGAGGAUAUAACAUUUUUUUUAUGCAAUCUUUUUUUAUUACUUAAUUAACUUAUUUAUUUAUUUUAAAUUUGCAACUUAGAACAAUAAAAAAAUAAAAUACUUGAAUAAACUCAUUCAGUAACCAAUAUUGGGUCCUAGCAUGAUUUGCUUUAUAAUUUUCAUUUAUUGACUUGAUUUUUUUCGAUCAAAAUCAAAUUUAAUUAAAUUAUAGCAUUUCCAAAGUUAUUUUUGAAAUUCAAAUUGGUAAUUCUUUUAAUAUAAUUUAUUGAGCUCUUAAAAGAGUUUUAUUCUUAAUAAAAAUUUGUUAUUUUUUAUUUCUUUUUCGUUAUUGAAUUAAUGUGUAACCACUGUCACUUUAAUUUGGUAAGAAAUUUAUAUUUCCCUUGUAAUAAAUAGUGGCCUCCUGAUUAAGUAUUUUUAAUUUUCUUGAUUUUUUUCGUUUGUAUCCUAAAUAUGUUUGACUUGAAAGAAAAUAGUGUUUGUAAAAUUUAAAAAAAUUAAAACUAUAUAUUUUUGUAUUAGGUCAUUUUUUGGAUUUCAAGAAUUUGUGUAUGAGAGGAUGUGUAAUUUUUCCCAAAAGUUAGAUUUGGAAAGAAUAAAAUUGAACGGGCUUGGUUUAUUUUAUUUAGAAAUUGAUUUUCCUUAUUAACGCAUUCGUUAUCCUCGAAAAAUAGUUCUCUUAUUUUGGUAAGAGUUUUAUUUUGGAGUCAUCAUCCUUAUUAGGGAAAAUUCUCAAAUUAGUCGAUUUUUUAGAAUCAACAAAUUCGAUUUUAAACCAAAGAUAAGGUCUGAGAGUUAGGUACGAUAAUAGAAAGGUGUUAGGCACUCAUACCCGCCUGGUUAAAUUGGCCUCCUCGUUGUCUAAAGAUUCACAAUUUAAUUAAUAAUGCGAUUAACUCUAAUUGAAAUGAAAAAACCUUUUCAUGCAUUUUUGUAAAACAUGUUAUCCAAGCAUAUUAUCUCAAACAUGGUAAGCAUGAAAUAUAAAGCAUCCACAAAAGAAGGAGGGAGAAGAAAAGAGUUACAAACCAUCCUAAUCAUUACAACCUACCCUCAUCCCUCCAAAAUUUUCAAACCCAAUCUAAUUAUUACAUAAGAGCAUUAAUUGAGAUCCAUUAAGAUCCCCUUACAUCUUGCAAUAAUAAAACACUAAAAUAGAAAGCAAAUAAGGAGGCAGUCAUCUAACACAAACCAUAGAAUAUAUUCAAUCACAAGAGUAAAAUAACAACCGCAAUCAUUCAAAAUGACAAAAUGAUGAAUGUUUAAUGUUUAUGAUGUUCUAAGCUAAGGUUAGAGGGUUAGAUUAAUAAAAAACUAAAGAACAUUAAAGUAAAGUGCAUAAAAAUAAAGGACUGAAAUUUAAAGUGCUGGAAUUUAAAGAACUUAGAAAAUAAAGAGCAAAGUAAUUAAGCAUUGUUAUUUAGUUUAAAAUGGGAUUUGAGUUCAAGAAUUUGUUGUUCAUUGUUAUUCACUUUCUGUAACACCCCUUCCCGGUCCACCCGUAAACCCGAAUGAACCGAGUCGAGAUGCUACAAACUGGUUGACUGUAUGGUCUGACAUGCUGAAAACAUACUGUAUAUUGAGAGCUCUUAAAAGAGUUUUAUUCUUAAUAAAAAUUUGUUAUUUUUUAUUUCUUUUUCGUUAUUGAAUUAAUGUGUAACCACUGUCACUUUAAUUUGGUAAGAAAUUUAUAUUUCCCUUGUAAUAAAUAGUGGCCUCCUGAUUAAGUAUUUUUAAUUUUCUUGAUUUUUUUCGUUUGUAUCCUAAAUAUGUUUGACUUGAAAGAAAAUAGUGUUUAUGAAAUUGAAAAAAAGUAGAACUAUAUAUUUCUAUUUUGGGUUAUUUUUUGGGUUUCAAAAGUUUGUGGGUAUGUUCAUAUAUUCCUUUCUAUAAUGCACUAGGUAAAUAAUACUAUCACUAUAGCCAAAAUGAUUACCAUUAUUAAUUCAGAUUAUGUUCUCAUUUCUUUUCUUUUAUCUACCAGUAAAAAAAAAUUUAUUAUUAUUUUUCAUUAUAGCUAUAUAUAGAUAUUGAUUUGAAAUUAAGAGCAAGGGUUGGGGAUUGAGUGAAAACUUAAUUUUCUUUCUGAGCACUUAUCAGGGUUUUAAAAAUCUGUAUUUAUAAAUUAGGGACCGAAUAAUUAGUUAUAAGGAUUGAAUUGAACUUUAUUUUGAUACCACUUCAUUAUAUAAAAAUAGAAUUAAGUACAUAAGAAAUAAUAUUAUAAGUAGCUUAUACGGCAAAGUCUAAUACAAAUUAACCAAUUGUAUUUAUUUUAAUCUAAAUAAAAACUUAUGCUUUAAUAUUAUAUAGAUAAAAAAUUAAAAGAGUAUAAAAAAAUAAAAAUAUGAGGAGCAUUGUCAACGUGCAACACACGUUAUAAAAAAGACUAGUAUAUAUAAAUAUGGGAAUGAGGGGAAGAAUAAUGAGAUUUCUUAAUUUAUUCUUAGUGAUAUUAUACAAAAAAAAAUAUAUAUCCUUAGUCAUGACCAAUUAAAAGAUUUUAAUUAAAAAUCCUAAAAUAUGUUUAGUCAUGGCAAUUAAAGUAAAAUAUUUUAAUUACAAAUCCUAAAACAUCUUUAGUUAUUGUCAAUUAAAAUAAAAAAUUUUAAUUGAAAAUCUAAAAUAUCCUUAGCAUGAUCAAUUAAAAGAUUUUUUAACUAUAUAUAUAAUAUUUUAGUUUAAAAAUAAAUAGUUCAUGGCCGAUUAAAAGAUUUUAUUCAAAAAUAUAUAAUAUUUUAAUUAAAAACAAAUAAUGCUAUAUGGUUCUUAGAGAUUAUUCAAGUCUAAAUAACUUUAUUAAAAAAUUUUAAACCAUAUAAAUAACUAUAAUGAAUGUGAUUUUUUAAACCAUAAUCAUAAAUCAGACUCAAUCAAAAGAUUUUAAUGAAAAAUAUGUAAUAUUUUAGUUAAAAAUAAAUGAUACUGUACAACUCUUAGAUGUUAUGUUAUGUGUUUUUAUUCGAUUCCAAUUUUCUUUUUAUAUAUAAAAUAAUAUUGAUUUUAUGCAUUUAUAACAUUAUAUUAAUAAUAAAUAAGAGACAAAUAUUGAGAUUAAAAUUUUCAGGGUUUAUAUCAAAUAAGUUCAACGUAUUCAUUAAUUUACAAGUGUGAGAACUAACUGUUAUCCGUCAUAACUAUUACAUUUAUAUGGAUUUAUUAUUUUUAUUUGCUAUAUAUUGAUGAUAUACUUAUUUGGAAUUUUUAUGGAUUGCAAAUUUAUAUUAUAGAUAAAUAUUACAUAUAAAUAAUUGAAUCACGAAUACAAACAGGUACGAGAUAGAAUUUAUAAAGGAGGAGGGCAAACUACUAUAAAAAUUUAUUAAAAGAAUAUUAUGAAAAACAAAAAAAGGAGAGGGUAAAACGGUUAAAGGUAUCUUCUAAAUUCGUUUAAGCCAAGGUUUGAAUCACAGAGUUGUUAAAGGAAAUUUUUUUUCCUAAAAUAGGAGGGGGGCAAUUGCCCUUUCCUCCACAAGGCAGCUUCGUCCUUAAGUAUAAAUAAUGUGCAAACGCAUGUUAAUAAAAUUGGGUAUAUGGAGGGAGAACAUUAGGAUUGCAAAGAAUAACUUACCAAAUUUAUAUAUUGAUAAUAAUAUCUUUAAAGAUUUUAAUUUUAUUUGUUAAAAAUGAAAGUAUUUAAUUUGAUUGAUUAUAUUAGUUUUUUUUAUUUAAAUUUAAAUUCUGGUGACUAAAAAAUAAAAUAAAAAUAUUGAAAACUUAAUAUAAUCCCUAAUUGAGAAGUUUUAUACUAAUUAAAAUUUUAAAUUGAUUACUCUAUUGUAAAGUUUUAUCUUAUCUUGAUUAGGAAUUAUAAUCCUAUUUUAGAAGUUUUAUCCAAUCUUAAUUAACAACUAUCUAUCUAUAUAUUUCUUCAAAAAAAAAAUAUCUAUCUAUAUAUCUAUCUAUCUUUCUAUCGACACACACUUUAUCUAUGCAAAUUUUAUUUAUUUUGAUUAUUGAGCUUUAUCCUAUCUUAAUUAGCAAUUAUAUAUUGCAUAUCACCACUCUAUCUAUCUAUCUACCUACCUAUUUAUAUAUUCAUCAGUCAAUUUUUGUGGAGGAGUUUAUUUUGUUAACAAGUAGUAGGAAUCUCUUAAAUUUUUCUCUUUUAACCAGUGGAGCUAAAGGUGCACUCAAUUUUUCUUCCCUAACUUGGGGUUAGGUACUAUUUUUUCUCUUAUACCUUUAUAAUAUUUUAGUUGGUUAGAAUUUUGCAUCUGGCUACUUCAAUGUUUUCCUCUACUAGAUUGCUCAUUUUGAAAGACAAUCUGAGCUUUCGAAAUGUGACUAAAAAUAAUAAGUUAAAGCAUUUAAACUGGCUAAUGUUUUGCUACGGUCCCCUCGUGCAUUGCAAUGUUGUCUAGAAUGUAUUGUUGGGAUAUUCCAAUGAAGUUUGUGGAUUUCAAGAGGUUGUUCCUCUCUAAAUUAAUGCAUUUCCUUCAUUAUCGGAAACUUGAUCAAGGACAUUGAUGAUAUUUAUCUGACUGGAACUGUCUUCUUGAGAUGGAAAGAUUUCAGUAGGACAAGGAAGAGUUGGAGGAGAUGGAGUAUCUGGAAUAACACUUUGAGAUAAAGGAGCAUCGAGAUUUGGAAGAUUUUGUGGAUUUCUCCUAACUGCUUCCAUGAAUUCAUUUUGGGUUGGUGAAAUUUGAAAGUGAAUUCUGCUAGUGGUCACCAUUUCAUGAGGUUUGAAAAGAGGACUUAGACCCUUAUUUUUCUAUCCACCUGAAAAAAUAAAAAGAAAAGAUUAGUAAGCAGAAAUAAAACCAAAUAUAAAUGGAAUGGACUCUCAAAAUAUCUAAAUUUUGUAAUUUUACAUUUUUUACAAAUGGAAAAAUGAGCUCAGUAUCAUUGACAAUUAAAGAAAAAAAACAUGAUCAACUUGAUAGGGACUAACUAUGUUAAUGAAUGUAAUUCCUCAAAUGACACUAUAUGAAAUAUCUUCAGCAACAAGAAAUGUGGUCUUGAUCUGAACACCAUUGUUGAGAACAAAAGCUUCUGCUUUAUGCUAAAUUUUCAAAGCAACAUUAUUUGUAGUUCUCGGACCAUCACUUACUAUUUCAAGAUAAUUUUUGGUUACUAUUCCCGUUUUAAUGCAACGGUGUCAACCUGAAAAUCAUCUUGAAAAAUCAAUGUUAUUUUGAUAAAAUACUUUUGCAAAGAUAUUUGUUUCAAAAUACAAAUGAAGUCUUCAAAAAAACUUUGGGUACUUGAAACGAUGAGUUUUGUUCAUUAGCAUGUAUAUAAUACACUUUAUCUAUUCAAAUUUUCUUUACUUUCAAUAUCAAGAAAUAUUUUCUUAUUCUAUAACAAAAUUAAAUUUUGAGAAGGACACGAGAGAAAUAUAAGAAAUUAGAGGGUUGAAAAAGAAAGGAGACCACAAAGUGGAUUGAAUGUAAUAAAACAAUUCCGUCUGCUUAUAUAAAUUUGCGUGUCUUUUACAACAUUGGUUUACUCUAUUUAUAAUAGACCUUAAAACCUCACUUUAUUAGAUAUUUUCUCAUCACACAGUACACCUGUAGUAUUCCUCCAUUUCAUUCAUCCUACUUGAAGUCUUGAGAAACAUCUUCAUCCAUCCUUGAGUACAUUACAAACAUCUUCUGGAAAAGCAGAGCCUAGAGAUUUAUGUUGAUUCCACUUGGAGACUUCUAUAUUUUUAGUUCAUUUAUUUCAAAGGGAAUAUAAAGAAAUAAAAUAUCAAAAGAGUAAAAUCAAUAAUUGUUCAAAUAAAAAAAAAAAAAAAAGCAAAACUCAAAAAUUUGCUGGCCCAAUAACAAUGAAGUAGAGCAACCUCACCAAAGCCAUCCAAUAUAAGAGUCAGCAAUAACAAAAUGCUGGACUGAAGGAGGGACCAUUUCGGUUUUGGGCUUGCACUAGAAAAGGCCCAAUCGGCUAAUUAAUGGGCUAGCAUAUUUCCUUUUUCCAUGUACUGGAAAAAAGGAUACAAACCCAAAGUGAUAUUGUUGCAGUUCCAACUCUUUGCUUUUAUAGUUUCCGUGUUAUGUUACCUGGCUUCGUCAUAAAUCUUACUAGAACGUUAUGUAGAUGAUGAAAUUGGAAUAAAAAAAAUUUUAAGGCAUGUCUAUUUCAACUGCUACUAUCUUAUUUUAAAUUGGAUUAACUGAUUUAUACUAUAAUUUAAUAUAUUGAUAUUAGGAUAUUUUAUUUUUAGGUUUAUAGAUUAAUUAGAAAGAGUGAGCGGUAGUUGACUUAAGUUGAAUAGUAAUUCUUUACAUGUGUUCAGCAAUAGUUUUGUAAAUAGCUUUUGUCAAAACACGAAUAGCUGUUUUUAAUAGUACUCGAUAACAUAGCAUUUGAAUUAAAUUUUAGAGAUUAAAAUAACGUUUUAUAAAACAUCAAUCCUUAUAACAUUUAAUUUUUAGCGUUUUAUGAAUAGCUGCUCAAACAGUUAACUACUACUAAAAUAAUUAAUAACUAUCGGCCAUCAAAAUAACUAAUUUUUUGACAAAUAAGCUGUUUAUCAAUGUCAAGUUCAAUGAGGUUUAGUCUCAAUAACUCAUUUUACUAUUACACAAUUGAAAUUCCGAUAUUAUUGUAUUACAAUAGUUACCACAAAGUGCAUUACUAUUAAGUUAAUAGAUUAGAUUUUUUUUUUUUUUAAUACCGAAUUUUAUGCCGACUAAACAUUGAAGUCUUAUUUUUUCAAAUAUUUUAUUCGGAUAAUCAAAUAAUUAAUACUGUAAAAACAGGUCUAAGCCCACGGACAGCUCAAAAUUGCUAGUAUUUUUUUAGAUACGAAAAAAAGAAUUUAGAACUGUUUCAAAAUAAUUUUUUUUUACAUGGCCCGUUUUGAGAGCGAGCCCAUGCGGGCCAGACUGGAUAGAUCCGUAGAUUACCCACUUUAGGAGAUCAAAGCAAACCACAAUUGUGUUAUGGUAAAAGUCACAGGUAGCGGUGUAAAAUGGUUAGGAAUAUCAAUCUAAAUCAAAAUUCCAAAUCGACUUUUAAUUUGAGAUGGAAUGUAUUUUUUAAAAUAUUGAUAUAUGGAAUAUGGAACCAAAAAUUAAUAGAAAAUGCCAUAUUCCGAUCCAUAUACCGAAGUUUUAUUUUUAUUUUUUUUUUUUUUAGUUUUAUUUUAAUAUUCUAACAAUAAGAUAUUAAUCUUGAGUAAAAUGUUUUCAAAUUUGAACAUAAAGACUCUUAGUUCAUUCUAAAAAUUAUAUAGUGUUUAACAAAAUAAUUUAAUCAUAAUAAUUAUUAAUAUAGGCUUGAUAUCCAGGAGUCAAAUUAAAAGAAUGAAAUAUACUUUGCAGAGUCAUAAUUUGCAUGUUUAUCAUCGAUCUUCUUAAGUCUUAUCAAGUAAUUAGGAAAAAGUAUUGAUCUUUAUUUUUUUUGCUUGAUAAGAAAAUUUCUUUUUUGAUAAUUAACUUUGAAAAAUUUCUGAAAUUUUUUAUAUGAAUUACUUUCUUAACCUUUUUCUUGCUUUUAAUUCUUAUUUCUCUUUCUAAAUUUCUUGUUUUUGAAUUUUAUUAUAUCUAUUUCAUGGUUGCACUAACUUUUAUAUUUUGUGCAUUUGAUGUUGCUUUGUUACUAAUUGAAUGAAAAGUUGUCAGGUGAAGGUAUAUCCUCAUUUCUAAUCAAUAAGCUUGAAUUUAUUAUUUUAUUGCAAUUUAAUUAUGCUUUUUAAUAUUUAUAUCUAAUUUUAAACAAUUAUAUUGAUUAUUUUUUUCUUAAAUUUAAAAAUUUAUAUCUUAAAAUAUAUCAUAAUAGAUUAGAUUUGUGUUUAUAAUUUCAAAUUUUGGAAUUAUCGAAUUCCAAAAUAAAUUUCCGUAAAAAUAGUAUGAAAUGAAAUUUUAAAUUUCAAAAAAUAUUUGGAAGGGAAUAGAAUGAAAUUUUGAAUUCUAAAUUUUGAAAUAGAAUCAGAACGAGGGCAUUCCGUUCCAUAUUAUCCGAAUUACACCCCUAGACUCACAACUCUGAGAAUUACUGCAGUCAUAAUUUAAAAAAGGAGGACAGAGAUUUUCACAAAAUUUUCACACUUGUGGAUCUGAUUUUGUAUAUUAAAAUUACAUCUAGACAAGUUAAGAUAGAUAUGGACUGACAUUUAAUCUAUUAAGUUAUCCCAAUUUAGUUAAUCGUUUGCAUGAGUUUAAUUAGUUUUCAGAAUGGAAAAAAAAAAAAAAAUUAAAAACAAACAUGUUCUAGCCAGACCGAGCAUGAAAAUUGAAAGCUCGUUUUUUAACGGGCUCUUUUGGCUCGGCCAAUUUUAUGACCAAGCCCUCACGGGUUGAGUUGGUCCAGGCUGGACUACCCAUUUUGACAGUAUACAAACAAGGGAUAUUAUACUAAAUCUCAGUUUUUAAACUUAUUUUUAAAAAUGUCAAUUUGACUUUAAGAUUUAAAUUAUUGUCAGUUAAGAUAUAUUUUUACUUUUGUGACUUUUUUUUAAUUUGUAAGGCGUUAGUUUGUUAAUAUUUUAGUAUUUUAAUUUUUUAGUGUUUCCUUUUGUAUUAAUUUCCUAUUUUCAUUUUUUUUUCCUUCUUUUAGUUUGUUUUCUUUUUUUGAUGCCGUUUUUUUCAGCCGACAUUCUUCACGCCAUAUUUUCACAAGCGAUUAAUUAUUCUUCUUCUUUAUCUUUCAAUCGUAGACUUGAACUUUGACUCAGAUGGCAAGACCGACAUGCGAAACAUCAUUGCAUGCACACUCGGAGUGAGAGUCCUCACCAGAUAAAGAUUUUUGUUCUACAAUUUAAUUUUCAUUUUUGUUUAUGUUCUUUAAUGAAAAAUCAAUUACUAAUUUACGAGGUCAUCUCCAUAGAUGUUAUUUUGUUUUGAAGAGACAUGGUAGGACUCUAGAUUCUGUUGGAUUAAUACUGAUACAGUACAUAUAUAUAUAUAUAUACCGGAUUUACUUAAUUUGAUCCAAUUUAUUAAUUAUACACACACACACAUACACACACACACCGAAUUUACCAUUUAAUCGGAAAAUCUAGUUUUCGGUUGUUUGUUUCUUCAAUUAUGGAAAUGAAGUCACAAAAUUAUUUUGUAUAUAUACCUGAUUUUUCUAUUUUCUUUUCCUAAUUUAUCUGAUUUUGUGGAGGUUGUCGUGAGUGAAGGAGAGACGGUUAGUUUUAGGGUUGAUUCUGUUUGGACUUUAUUUUCAGCAUGCUUAUCGAGAUGGAAGAUUGCGCGGUUAUGAGAUUAUUUUGAAGCAGAUGUGGUUAGUUUUAGGUUAGAGCUGACCGUUACUUAUGUUUUAACAGUUGUCAUUUAUUUUGCAAAAUUAAUUUUGGUAUUAUUAAAUUUAUUAUUAUCUUAAUAAGUAUCUUUUAUGCCAUUUAGUUAAAUUUGAAACCUUAUAUCUGACAUUUGUUAAAUUAUCCCUGCAAACAACUCGUCCAACAAAAAUAGUAAUAGCAUUUUGAAAGUGAAAUAGUAGAAAAAAAAUGAAUUUAAAGAUAACUUUAAUAGAAUAUCGAAAACCGAAAAUGAUCUAUCUUUUGUUUAUGAAGAAAUUAUUAAUUCAAUUUUAUGAGUAUGUUGGAGUUAUCCUUAAAAUACUUAGCAUACACUUCACUUUUCUAAUGCGUUGAAGCGAUCCAACAAAUCCUUUGUAUUCACUUUUCUGGAAUUCUUGUUCAAAUAAUUAUUAAUUGCUCAAAAUAAUAACUAACUAAAACACAUUUUUGUUUUUAUAUUUAAAAAAAAUAAUAAUUUAGGCUUAUUAACGGUGUCAAGGCCAAAUAAGGAAACAUCAUUAAUAUAUUGGCAUUAUUCUCUUGCUAAGAGAAAAAUACAUGUUGGCGCUGUACUCUUGGGUUGAGAUGUUGUUAUAUUAAUAGAACUUACUUCCUUUGUAGGUUGAGAUGUUAGAAGAAAUAAUGUGAAGUGAGAGCUAUGCCUCCCUAAAAUCAAAUUUAGAAAAUAAAUCAUUUUCCCAUUUGAUAAGUGCUAAUUAGGUCUUUAAGUUUUACAAGUAAAAUUUCAAGUUUAAUCUUUAAUUGAAGCUUAAUUAAUACUUCCUCCAUCAUAUUAAUCUUUACAAAAUUUCAAAUCACAUAAGAAUUAGGAAAAUCACUGAACAAUUUCAAUUUUAGAAAAAACUUGUUAUGAUUAACUAAAUUAUCCUUUUACUCCAAUCAUCGAUUAACAGAAAUAAGUUUAGUUAAGAUAUCUAGCUAGAUAAUCCCCUAACAAAAUCUAGGGUAAAAUUGAAAAAAAAUAAUUAAUAACUUCUAAAUAUUCUAGAAUGCGAAAUGCAAUGGGAAAAAGAAUUAACAUUUUAUCGAGAUUAAUGAAACUCAGACAGGAGUGACUGUAAAAUAUUUAAGAAGAGAAGCCUUAUACUAGAAUAAGAUAAAAAGAAAAGCACAAAGGAAAAGACAAAUACAGAAAUCCUUACAUCAAAGUAAAGCAAAAUCAGAAUAUUUUGUCAAACAGAAUUCUUACAUAAACUUUUCAACAAUACAUUAGACCAUAAUGAGAUAAAAUAUAUUUGUAUAAAAAUUAUUGUUUCGUCUUUAAAUUAAACCCAAACACCAUAUAAAUCUAGUCUUUAACUCCUCCUCUUCCCUUUCUUUUUCUUCUCAAAGAAACAGGAAGAGGUGGAAUGCUCUGUUCAUGCCUGAAAAAAUUAUCAGGAUCAACCUUAGUCUUCACUUGCACCAGUCUAUUAAAAUUAUCCUUAAAAUACUUGCUACCCCAAGAAGUAGCUUCUAAAAAGCUAAAAUUACUCUUCUUGUUCACACCCAAAUCAAGAUCCCUGUAAUUAACAUAAGCAGUUCUCGGAAACAUUGAAGCAUAAGGGGCCAUAUAAUUGUAAAGCUUUCUUAUCCAAUCCAUAUGCUUGGCUUCACUCUUUUCUCCAUCUUGCCAACUUGUCAGAUACUGAACCAUGAACAAAUUCCCCUUUCUAUGAGGAAAUGGAAUUUCAGAUUCUGAAAUCUUGCUCAUCAUUCCUCCAAAAGCAUUCCAAAUCAUGAAUGGAUUUUCCUCUUCCAAGAAUCUUUUCCAGAGACCUUCUAGUCCAGUUUCAGGAAUAGGUUCUUUAAUAAAAUCUGAUUUUGCUUUGAAGUAAUUUUUAAAUAAAGAUUUACCCUGCAGUAAAACUUCAGGUGCAGUAGUACUCGGGUAACCCGCU
rnacentral:lncRNA from 1 species